UUCCAAACUUCUAUACUUUUGUGCAAUUUGUUGGAUCAUUUUAUAUACGCAUUGUCCUUGCUAUUCAGAAAAAUAUUUUUCCAGUUGAUAUACUGUAAUGUGUUUAUAACUAUUCUAGAUAGUAUCACUGGUGAGUUCUUUUGGGUUCACAUUUUAUUUCUUUUCUUUGACUAUGUGAAAUCAGAGAUUUAUGUUUUCAUAACGAUGGAGAUUCAUGGUGUUGGCCUUGAUUGGGUAAGAGUGAAGGCUAUGAGCUAUUCUGUAUCCUACAUGCUGCAAAUGAGUUUGGCUAUUAUGAAAUUUCUUGUUUAUAUGUUUGGCUUAUUUCUCUUUCUUUGUUUCGUUCUUUCUUUCUCUCUCUCACUAGUCACAUAACUGUACAACUCUGUUUGAGUUAAAAAUUUCUCCUUAACAACUAGUAGUUUCUUGUGGAAUAUAUUAUAUAUCGUCGAUUGUCAGAGCUGGUCAUCUAACAAUGGUCAUUACUUUGGAAGGUUUGGGAUUGUUUGCCACAACACCUAUUUACUGACACAUGCUGUUGGUGCUCUUCAUUUACUUUAGAAUGUGUCGGGGGAGACAGAAAGCUGGAAAAAAAGAAGUUGCUUUGAUUGAUGCAAAUUAAAUUAGUUGAACACAUGAUAGGUUUCAUUUCAGUUUAUUAUACAGAUGAGAAAAUAUUAGCCAUUAGGUGAGGAUUAAAUUGUAGGUUAUAUAUAUCUUGUCCCCUAGUUGUGUAUUUUGAAUAGUGUUAACCAUGUAAAUGGAGAUCAUGGUUCAUAGUUGUCUCCGUGUUAAUCCACUACCCUUUGACCAUUAUCUGGAAGAACAAAAUGCAAAUUGAGAAACUAAUCAAAUUGAUAACUAUCAUAGUGAAGUUUCAAGUUAUAUGCUAGAGUAUUUUUAUAAGUUGUUUCACCUCCUGAUAAAUAUCAUUUUGUUUUUCCAAUGUCAAAAUAAAGCAUUCUUGACAGACUAUACUUUCAUACUUUUCUUUUGAUUUUAUGCUUCUGAUGUUAAUAUACGCAAAAAAUUUUCUUGGUUGGUUUGCCUCCUUUCUUUUCAGUAUACAGAUGAAGAAGUUGAACGCUCUUAUGAAGAAUUUUAUGAGGAUGUUCAUACGGAGUUCCUGAAGUUUGGUGAAAUUGUCAAUUUCAAGGUUGUUAACUGUUUUCUGUAAAUGUACUUGCUGUCUUGGUGUUUCUCAAGUUUCUUUAUUUCUAUUACCCUUUUCUUUGGUUUUUCAAAUAUCGCAAUUUUGAGAUUAACAAAUAUGAUGAAUAUGAAGAAAACUAGCUGUUACCAUUUUCUUUGACAAUAAUGACAGAGCCACAAACAUUUUUUUACAGCUUAGUGUGUACCAACUGAAAUCUCGUUCUUUUAUAUCUGCUGUUGGGUGCUGGAUUUUUUCCUUAAAAGUAUUUAUUCAUGUGUAGAUUGUAGAAGUAGGAGUACCGGUAAAGCGUAAAUAAAUUUUUUAACCCAUACCAUUCGAACAUGAAUAAUCAGCUAAAAAAUUAAAUUAUUUGAAGACUGUUCAGCCAAUUAAGCCCCUAUGGCUCAGUCCUUCUCUUUCUUCUGCUACGGAUCCCUCUCGAAAGAGCAGGGUCGGAUUUUGAUUUGUGUAGUUUUUAGCAGUAGUUAUUGCACCAUAUUAUAAAGUGUGUUCUGCAAAUUGAAAUGGAAGCUUAAAAAAGACGAGGUGGAAGGCACGUACCUUGAAGGUUGUUAUUACCAAGAUUUAGAUGCAAGAGCUUACUCAAAUUCCCAAUCUUGGUAGGAAUUUUCCCACCAACAAUAUUGAACCUCAUCUCCAACGUCUCCAGCUUUGAUAAGUUGUAGAGAGAAUCCGGGAAGGGACCUCUGAAGCUGUUAUUACGAAGACUCAACAUUCGCAGUUUCGGUAAGCUGCCAAUCCAGGAUGGAAGGACUCCACUCAAUUGGUUGAAAUUGAAAUCAAUGAAUUUGAGCCUUCGUAAUUGCCUCAAUUCAUUAGGCAGAUGGCCAUGAAAAUUGUUACCACUAAAAUUAAGAGACACUAGAAAUGAAAUAUUUCCCAAGUGUGCCGAAAUGGGGCCUUCGAGACUAGAAUCUGAAAGAUCCAAUUUUGUGACUCUAUGAUGACGACUGUCACAAGAAAUGCCAACCCAACUGCAUACUGGAUGAGAAACUGACCAAUUAUGCGCCAGGACACCUCGAGGAUCAAUUACUUGCUCUUUGAAUGCAAGAAGAGCAUGUUGAUCCGUCGUUAUGUUUUUAACACUACUCGUAGGCAAAGCUAAGCUAGACACGAUGAAAUAGGGUAAGACCAACAUUAUUGGUGCAAAAUAUAAUAAGCUCAUAUCGAUCUUCAUGUAUAGAUUUAGACAACUUUUAGUGCUAAGCGAGUAAUAGCAAUAUAGCAUACUGCGCAUACAGAUACUUAUAUAGGUAGAGCAAAAAGAAAAUUAUACGGUGUUCCCAUGUUGCGUGAUCUACAAGCUAUUGAAUCAGACUUUACGGGAAGAUCGUUGAUUGGCCUUCUGGAAAAACUAAGCUAGUAUGAAACAAUGACAAUGUUUUCCCAAUUGUUAUUUUCUCUCUGGGGAAAAUAUUGGGUGGGUUUAGAGCGUCAAUUGCUCCGUUUCCAUGUGAACAUGCUAGAGCUGUUAAUUUUUUUUUUCCUUAGUGAUGAGGACUUUUUUAACGACGGCAUAUAUGGUAAACAAAGUCGUUAUAAAAUUAUUCCAUAAGAUUUUUAAGUUAGAUCUUUUCUUUCAACAAAAACUUUUAAAUUAGUCGCAUUUAAUUAUAUGUAUUAUUUAGAUGUACCAUUCCAAUUUAUUGUUUUCAAUACUAGUCAUGAAAAAUAUAAAAUAUUAAUAUGUAAAUUUUAUAUGAACCAUACUCUUUAAAAAUAUCUCAUCAACUUGUAAUAAAUGAUUUGUAAACUGAAUCACAAAGUUGUUAAUGCUGUCCAUAAAUAGAUAGUUUUCAAUUGUUAGUUAUUUUUAUAUAAUGGUAGAUAGUAUAUGGUGAAUGAUAUAAUAUAAAAUAGUAAAAUAGCAUGAAAUUUGUUACACACAAUGAAAAUUAGAUAAAUUUUAAAUUAUUAUUGAGAUUUGAGAAAAACGAUUGAUUGUCAUUGUUUUUGUUAAUCAAUACAAGGAUUGAUUGUCAAUCAACAUAAAAAUGGCUUUAGUCUUUGUCAAUCAAUCAUAUUCCCAGAUACCAUAUCAAUUGUAUCAUUUCCAUUUUUUUCAUUCAUUAAUUAUAUAUUUUUUAUUUUUGAAAGAAUUCAUUCAUUUUAGCUAUUGACCAUUUGUGCUUAUUAAAAUGAAUUUCAUUAGUUUAUGUUCUUCGUCAAUCGUAAGAUAAAAGCAUUAUAUAUGAAGAUUAUUUUGUUUAACUUUUCACUAUACAUAUAAUUUAUCAAAACCAACAGUAAUGCAUUACGAAAUUUAUAUCAAUCAAGCAAUGUAAUUAUAAUUUAGUGAAGCUUGAAUGAAUGAGGGAAUUAACGACUAAAAAAACGAGUAUAUGAUCAUCAAAGAGGGACAUAAUAAAUAAAUCUUACCUUUUAAAACAUUGGUAUUUCAUUUAAAAUUUAGCAGUACUUAGGGGCUGUUUUUUUUAUUUAAUAACUUAAUUGACUUAAUUUCAAUUGGUUAAGUCAUUAAGUCCCUUUUUUUUCAACUUAAUGAAAAAUUUUGGUCUUUAAGUCAUUAAGUUAUCUAGCCAAUUUUUUUUUUUACCUUUUUACUUAAUCUAAAAUGUCUAAAUGAUAUCAUUAGAAGAUAUUCUCCAAAAUAUCCCUAUCUAAUCAAUUAAUUUUCAUCCUUAACUAAAUAAAUUUUAAUAAUUAGCAUUAUUACUCAUUUGUAUAACUUGUGAUAAUAUAGUGGUAGAAUAUUAUUAUUUUUAUCUUUUUAUUUUCUUCAAAUUAACAUUAUUUAUCUUAAUAAUUUUUUUAUAAAUAUUUUUCAUAUAAAAAUGUCAUGAACUAUAAUAAAAUUGAUUAACAUAUACUAAUUUAGAAUAUAAAUGGUUGUAUUUAAUUAACUAUGAUUUAUAUUAUGAUAAUAUAUUAUUUUAUUUAAGUUCUUUGAGAUGUUUAUUAUUUAUUUAACAUUUAUAAUUUGUAAGGGUAUAAAUAUAAAAAUAUUAGUUUUUAGAUUUUAAAAUUAAAAAAAAACAACUUGAUAUUUGUUUUUAGCAAUUCAGACAAAAAAAAAAACAAACAUAUCAUUCAGAUUCAGAUAUUCAGUUCUAUUCUGAAUUUAAACUAAUUCAAGUAUAUUCAGAGUUCAAAUAAAAAAAACAAACGCCAUCUUAAUUUGAAUUUACUUACGUAUACAACCAUUCGGGAUCUCAUUUUUGUUGAUCACAAUUCGGGGAUGACUUUCAUGUCCCUGGACAAAUUAUUUCUAGACCAAACAUUAAUUCUUGGGAAAUAUGACUAGAAUGGAUGGGGACAUAACUGAAGAGGACUCCAAGGACCUUAACUUACUAGAAAGUAGAAACCAUUCAUUUCAAUUUUCAAUUUUCAAUUUUCUUCACGUCCUUGCAAAAUUCCUACAGUAAGAGAGAGUGUUAAACCAGUCACCAAUGAACCAUACUCUAAUUCUGUGUCAGAAUUGAGGUGAUACAACUUUUAAGUUGUAGCUGUUAUAGAAAUUACUAAAUCUUUUAGGUUAUUUUUGAAAAUAAAUCAAAAUUAUUUAUUUUUGAAUUCAUGUUACUAUCAAAGAUUUUUUCUUAAUAAAAUUAACCGUAAAACCGCAUGGGAUAACUCUAUGUGAAUACUUUUUAGUGAAUUUAUUUAAGGGUUUCAGAUUUCAGCAAACUCUAUUAGCUGCAGUUCGUCUUGUACGAAUAACUUUCUUUUUAAAGUAUGGAAUAAUCUACUUAAAGUAUUAUUUGCAUGAAUUACGUUCAUGCGAACAAUACUUAUAAAAAAUUAUUUGCAUGAAUUUUACCACAUAUGAAAAUAAUACUUGAAUAUAUGUGGUAUACAUAUAUUCAAUCUCUAAAAAUCCUGGGUAGCUCUUGUACUUGACUAGAGGAGUAUAUUUUUGAUAUUAACAUUGUGCGCUCAUCUACUCACGACUCAAUCUCCGCAUAAUGUUGCAAAUCAACUAUAUUUGCAAUCUCCUGAUUAAGGCCAUUCAGGAAUCAUGCCAUAAUAGCUUCUUUAUCUUCCUCCACAUUUACUCUAAUAAUGACAAUCUCCAUUUCUUUGUAAUAAUCCUCUGUACUUCAGCUAACUUGUGCAAGACUUUGUAAUUUUUGGUACAAAUCUGGAUAGUAGUGGUUAGGUACAGAACGCCUUCUCAUCAACGAUUCAUUUUAUCUUAUGUCUCAAUUGGACGUUUCCUAUUCUGUCUCCUGUAUAUAACAAGCAUAUCCUACCAAGUAAUAGCAUAGUCAGAAAACUCAAUCACGAUCAAUUUUACUUUUUUUUACAUCUGAAAAAUUAUGGCAAUCAAAUAUGAAUUCCAUUUUCUUCUCACAUUCAAUGUAUGCUUCCAAGUCAUAUUUACCUUGAAAAGAUGAAAUCUCAUCUUUAUGUCACUUAAUCUAUGAUCCCUAUUCCUAGCUCUGCUACCCCGUCCAUCUCUCCUAUAGCUACCCUCUGAGUGCUCCCCUUCAUCAUACUCAUCCUUAUAAUAGUCAUUGAUCUCUCCUCUAGCUAGAGCUCUAUCCCUCCUACGUGCUUGAGGAACGGGUUGUGAUUACCCCACACGUGUUCUCUACUUGAUCCAAACGCUUGCGUAUAUGCUCUAAUUUAGCCCUCAUCAUCCUUCUCAUAUGUCCCAUCAAUGCUUAAAUUUCCAAAAUCUGAGUAGUUGCGAAUUGAUCCUCUUUUUUUUUUUACAUGGUUCAGGGUUGUGAGACAUGGCUAACGUCUGCAAAAGAAAGUUAGAAAUAAUAUAGAAAGGACCUCACCUCACUUCCUUACGUGUUUCACUCAAGAAAAUGAUUCACUCAAUUUCACUCGUGUUUCACUCAAAUUUAUUGGCUUUUACCCUCUAAUAUGCUCACACUCUCUUGCCUUUUUCCACUCGUAGUAAUUCUUACUCGAUUCUUAUCAAAUUAAUCAAACUAAUAUCAAGAUUCUAAUAGCAAUUCACAAUGAUUAUACUAAGGAGACUCGAAUUUCAAGAGCAAGAAUGCAAUGUGUACGAAAGGUCGGGUUUCGAUUUCGGGCAAAAAUUUUCACCAUGUGUAAAACUAAUUUUGGACUCUACAAGACACUAAUAAAUGAAAAAUGAACAAAUGAUUUAAGCCGGACGUUGGGGAUUUUUUUUUUUUUUAGUAAAAAGAAUAGGUGAAAUUUGCGGAUUUAAGAAUAAUUAAACCACAAAGAUGCAAAUUGAUGAAAAAGAAACCCUAAAAAUAUUGUUCAUGCAAUACUGUUCACAUGGCACUGUUCAUGACUCUUUUUUUAUUUUCUUAAUACUAGAACAAGAAUGAAAAAUCUCAAAUAAGAAUUUAAAACAAAAAAGAAAGAUGAAUAUGAUCUUAGUGCCUAAGCUCUAAUACUAAAUUAUACGAACCUCGUCAAGAAUUGACGCGACCCUAAUCAAUUUAAUCCCUAAGAUCGGAUCUAAACUUGAAAUUGAAUGAGUACUUAAAACCACAUCCUUGGAAGGACUAACAAUCAAAGAAGCAAAACUGGUGAUUCAAAUUCAGAAAGCUCAACGCCAAAAGAGAGGGACAAUGAGUACUUAAAACAAGGAUUGCCUGCAGUGGAAGGCCUGAGCAAUGAGUUCACCAAUGUAAAGAAAGCAGUUAGGAUAGAACAUGACACAUUCAUCAAUACAUGCUCCUCACUUGCAUCCCGCAUAGUAGAAAUCCGGCAACUAGUAACACGUUGUGCUAGCAGUGAGAUAGGCAGCUUUUUAAAGGAAAUGAAAGGGUUUCUGGAGGAUUGUGAAGAAGAGCUUAAGCUAGUGAGAGAAAAGCAAAAUAGGACUAUGGAACUUGUUAAGCGGACAGCAGAGUACUACCAAGCAAGAGGCUCCAAAGAAAAAUGGGAGCACCCACUUCAACUGUUUGUUAUAGUAAAAGAAUUUCUGGGCAUGGUUGAUAGAGUUUGUGCUGACAUUAGUCGAAAUUUACAGAAGAAGAAUGGGACUAUUAGCAUAUACAGAUAAUAAAUUAAUUAUUCAUUUUCUAUUAUUAGGAAAAUUGUCAUAACAAAACCAAAACGAUCUAAGUGCCUGUUUGGUAUGGCUUAUUUAAUGGGUAUAAGUGCUUAUUUAUUCUCAUAAACUCUUAUCAUAAUUUUUGUUAUUGUUUGGUUGUUUUUUAGUAGAGUUUUUAUAGAUUAAAUAAGUUAUUUUAUCUCUAAUAGAAAAAACUCAAAUUUUGAGCUUUUGUGAGUAGGGGUUGAAUUUUUUUUAAAUGUUAAAAUAUUUAAAAUAUCGUCUACUUAUUUGACAAUCUUUUCUUAUUCUUUUUAUAACAUAACAUAACAAAACUUGCAUAUUAAAAUAUUUUCAUAAAUUUUUAAUAAAAACUCUUAUUGACAAAUAAACAGUUAAAAUUUCUUAGAUAAAAGCUCUUCUGCCAAAAUCUUUACUUAAAUAAGCUUUACUUGAAAAAUUGUACCAAACGAAACCUAAAUCUUAUAAAUUAACCUGCUAGGUGGGUCCUACAGUAAUUUGGGCCGAACUCUGGGUUAUCGCAAGGAUUCAGGCCCAACUCAAUCCAGAUCAGCUGCCUGUAACCGCGACGACUUGUAGCACAAGCCGCAAUGCAGUGAUUACGAAGGGAAUAGGAUCUACAGUUUCAGACAAACGUGUAUUGGUUACUGCAUUGUUCAUCUGCUAUAAGCUAUUAAAUAAAUAAUCUUAGAGCUGUUAUAAACUAUAAUAGUAGUUAGUUUUCCAUCCCAGGAGAUGUCUGAACCUUUUUCAGUCUUGGAUAAAAGAAAUAGAUUUACCCGACUAAUAUUGUUUUAUUUGAGAAAGGGGAGAGAAGAAACCAGAAGUGGUUGCAUCGUGGGCGGCUUGACUCCUGAGCGAGCUACGAGCUUGACCUGGAUCAAAGUGAAAGUCGAGUCAACGAUUGGGUAAUACCCAAAAAAGGUCAUUUCCUUACACAAUAAUUUCCAGGAACGCGUUCAAAACUUAAAACAAGAAACAUUCUAUCUCCUCCACGACUUAAAGAUAAAAAAGACAAUAACAAUAAAUCAAGCAAAGCUUCUAAACCGGGAAAUUUUCUCAACAAGUAGUAUAACAGUUGUAGAAACGAUGGCAAGUGAAAGACUUGGAGAGGUGAUAAGCAUGAAAGAAGAGGUGAUCAAGAAAGCAUGCUCGAUAGCCAUGAAGGCACACGAGUUGCCGGAGAAGCAGCUGUAUCUCGUGGAAAAGAAUGGGGGCUCAUCAGAUGUCAUUUUCGGCUUUCCAGGUUCUUGGUCUAUCAGUGAUUGGUUUAGUGGAAGCCCUUUUGGCGAAAAAAAGAUCGAUCCACAUCCACCUCAGUUCGCUUCUCUUCGAAGUAUAGGCAAUGAUCAAGUUGCAACCGUCAAUGAAGCUUUUCUUACUAGAUUUCAAGCAAUUCUGCCUCAGCUACAAAACGAGGUGUGUGAUCUCUUUAUUAAUUAAGUUUUUUUAAUUUUAGUUUUUUGGCCCCUGAAACAUCAAAAUGCAACAUGUACUGCUAGUUAGUAAGUAUUGGUGUUGCUUCCUCUUUCGCAAUCAUCAAGACUCCAAAAUAGCUGAUCGUGAUAAUAAAUAAACUAUACAAUUGAAUUCGAAUGAAACAAUAGAAAUGAAGCAAACUAAUGACAAACUGGAAUACAAAUAUAUAUAUAAAAUACUGGGUAGUUACUUCGAAUCAUUCUCAGGUGGGGAAAGCUGUGGCAGAGAGAAAGCAAAUAGUGUUUACAGGGCAUUCCUCAGCUGGUCCAAUUGCCGUUUUAAUGACAGUUUGGUUCCUGGAAAAUUUGGAAAAAUUCAUAAAGUCAGACCCCAGCACCAGCCGAAUGCCACCUAUAUGCGUCACUUUUGGAUCACCUCUUGUUGGUGAUUUCAUAUUUAACCACGCUUUGAGGCGAGAAAGUUGGUCUCACUACUUCAUUCAUUUCGUAAUGAGGUACGACAUCGUCCCUCGGGUUUUGCUAGCUCCUCUCUCUUCCCUUGAGCCAGAACUGAAAAUUAUCCUCCAUUUCUUGAACCCAAAACAUACAACUCCCAUGCCAGAACCAACUGAGGAAGCUUCAGCUCUCUAUGUGACGGUGAUGAGGAAUGCAUCAUCUGUGGCAUGCCAUGCAGCCUGUCAUCUCAUGGGAAACACAAACAAGUUGUCUGAUACUUUGUUGAGUUUCGUUGAGCUGAGCCCCUAUCGACCCUUUGGAACUUAUGUCUUCUGCACAGGAGAUAGGGAACUGGUAGUAGUGAAAAACCCUGAUACCGUUCUGCAGAUAUUGUUCUAUUCUUCUCAGUUGAGCUCUGAAGUAGAAGGUCCAGAGAUUGCUCUCAGAAGCGUAAAGGACCACCUUAAUUACCAAAGCGAUCUGCAGAACUUAGAGACAAAAGGUGUCGCUCAUUUAGACAAUUUGCAAGGGCUUCCAUUGUCUUCCAAUGUCGGUGCCGCUGGCCUUGGCCUGGUCCUGAAUAACCUUGGCCUGGUAAGUCCGUUUCAAGAUAGUUUCAAAAUUAGUCUUUCAGUUUUAAAAGUUCCCCUAUCAGUUUUUUUUUUUUUUUUUUGCCCCCUUGGACUGACAUUUUGAAUCUUCGGUUUCCAGAGCACCAGGGCCAGACUCUGCCUUUGUGCUGCCGGAGAAUUAGAGGAGCAAAAAUGGAGAAACCUGGAAAAGAUUAAUAAAAAGAAGAUAGAUAUAGAGAGAGGACUACUAGCACUUGAAGGGUACAAAACCAGGUGCGAGGCUGGCAGACUCAGCUAUUAUGAUGCAUUCAAGCUUUCAAAGGACACUGAUGAUUUCAAUGCAAAUGUUAAGAGGCUUGAGUUGGCUGGUAUAUUUGAUGAGAUUAAGGAAAUGUUGAAAAGGUAUGAACUUCCUGAUGAGUUUGAAGGCCAUAGAGAGUGGAUAGACAUCGGAACAAGGUACCGCCGCAUUGCUGAACCUGUAGAUAUUGCUAAUUACUAUCGACACCUAAAAAAUGAAGACACCGGUCCCUAUCUGAUAAAGGGCAGACCAAAACGAUACAGAUACACUCAGAGGUGGCUCGAGUAUGCCCUGAAGAUAUCGGCAGGAUCCAGCGGGGAAUCAUGUUUCUGGGCAGAGGUUGAGGAGCUCUGCCUCAGAACUAUUAAUAUGGGGCUGUUUGAAGAUGUCAAAGCACAUAUACUGUCCCUGGAGAAGCAGGUAGAUAAAUGGGUUCAGGAUAGGGAGUUAGGUGAUGAUAUAUUCUUUGAGGAUUCGACCUUCGUCAAGUGGUGGAAAACACUCCCUCAGCUACAUAGAUCAGGAUCAUGCAUUGCAAAAUUCAUCAAUAACUAAAAAAAUAAAUCUUAAAGCUAUCACCACUUGCGUCUAGAAGUGCAACUAUCAACCGUUGGUCCCUGCCCUGGCCGUGGAAGUUGUAUGAUCAGUUUACCUAAUAUCAUUAGUUUCUAUUUGUAACGUGUGCUUCAAUUAUAACUCAAGAGUGGAGACUCAUUUUGUAUUACGACCAAAUAAGUCAUUAGUGGAUUGUUGCCAAAUGUUAUUAACCAGUAGCAGCAUUAUUGUUGAAAUUAUACUGGCUGUCCACUGGUAAUGUAUCCAUUUCGGGAUGCCACUCCGCUACUGUUUGUUCAAGAAUUCUGUCAUCCUGAUACAAAAACAAGGAAAGAAAAAUAAGGGCUCUCAAGAAGCAAGCCAUUCUCAACGUGCUAAGAUACAAUGUAUCGAAUAAAAUCAUCACUGUGCAGUUAUACAGAUUCAAGUACAAACAGAAACGUCCACAGGAAAUAAAAUCAGCAAUUAUAGAAGAAAAUCAAAAUAACUGGCCUAGCCUCCAAUGACAUUAGGAAGCAUAUCACACUAUAUGUUACAGUCCAUUAGCUUUAUCCAACAGAACUUACAGGGUUUUUAGGUCAACAUAUAUACAUAUCUCCUCGCAAAUCUUUAUGGUUGAAGAAAUAUAACACAGCAGCAAGUCUCCUCUGAAGCUGUUAUAACGAAGACUCAACAUUCGUAGUUUCGGUAAGCUACCCAUCCAGGAUGGAAGGACUCCACUCAAUCGGUUGAAAUUGAAAUCAAUGAAUUUGAGCCUUCGUAAUUGCCUCAAUUCAUUAGGCAGAUGGCCAUGAAAAUUGUUACCACUAAUAUUAAGAGACACUAGAAAUGAAAUAUUUCCCAAGUGUGCCGAAAUGGGGCCUUCGAGACUAGAAUCUGAAAGAUCCAAUUUUGUGACUCUAUGAUGACGACUGUCACAAGAAAUGCCAACCCAACUGCAUACUGGAUGAGAAACUGACCAAUUAUGCGCCAGGACACCUCGAGGAUCAAUUACUUGCUCUUUGAAUGCAAGAAGAGCAUGUUGAUCCGUCGUUAUGUUUUUAACACUACUCGUAGGCAAAGCUAAGCUAGACACGAUGAAAUAGGGUAAGACCAACAUUAUUGGUGCAAAAUAUAAUAAGCUCAUAUCGAUCUUCAUGUAUAGAUUUAGACAACUUUUAGUGCUAAGCGAGUAAUAGCAAUACAGCAUACUGCGCAUACAGAUACUUAUAUAGGUAGAGCAAAAAGAAAAUUAUACGGUGUUCCCAUUGUUGAUGCGAGAUUCUGGUUGUCCUCGUUCUACGACCAGGGUCUCUGCUCGAUCAACUUCACCACGACCAGGAUCUCUCCUCGUAAAUCUUCUUCUCCAGAGGUUCCUGCGCACACAGUCAGGUCAGAGUACGCCGGUUGUUUUCCCGACGCAAACCCUCCGACGCUCAAGUCAGAAAUAGGGGUUCUGGGAAUGUUUGCCAGGAAUCUUAUGGCUUCUUUUUAAUCUCCGUUCUCGGAACUUUCUUUUCUUAGUUCUAAUAGCAAAAAGUCUAACCCUUUUACCUUCGUUGGCUACCUUUUUAUAGGCUUCCUCUGAAUCCCGGUCUUCCGUAGUCCACGCCCAUUAUUCUGCCCACCCUCGGAUGUGGAUGCCCCAAUGUCGUCAUUGUGGGCGAAUGGAGAUGGACUUCGUGCCUUGAUUCUCAGAUAGGAACGCACGUCCUGCCAACUGUCGUUGACUGGGUCUCCUCGCCUCGACCCCUAGCAGGAAUGGCCUUAUGCCUUUAACAGGAGUUCGUCCUCGUGAGUGGCAUAUUCGUGGACGAGCAGAAUAGCCCUGCUCCUGUUCCCCUGCUACCAGGCUCUUACAGGACACACCUGCUCGCAGGACUCUGCCACCAACUAUCUGCUCAUCACUUCUGGUCUCGCCGAAGUAUUUCCCUCAAACACCGGUCCCCCAGUUUCUGGUGUUGGGUAAUGUAAUGGACCAGCAGUAGAAACUCAGUGGUUCUUGGUCGCGUGGGACUGGAAAAGGCUGCCAAGGAAAAUGCCCAAGGGGUGGAGCCAAUCGUGAUUGAGGAGGAAAGCUCUCCUCCUCGUGCAAUCCAUGCUGAUGUUGGCGGGGCGAGCACCCCUGCUGUCGUUGCCGAGGCGAGCACCCCCCCGGACGCAACUGGUGAUACCCCCCCGCACCUGAGGAGGUUCAUCCAACCGAUGCUGCUCGGCUUACUGAUCCGCCAUCUUCUUGAACAUUUUUCUCGCGUUGUAAUGAACUACUUUGUUGGUUAUUAAUAGAUUAAUGAAAACUGUUUUUGAUUACUUUCUUGCGUUUGUAUUUAUAAGUUACUUUUCCAUUUGAAGGUCUGCUCGCCUUCUCUUGGUCGAGCAGGCUCUGGCUUAGAAUAUGGUCUUUCUGCAUGACUAGGGAUUCUGCUCGCCUUUGCUCGAUCGAGCAAAUCCUGGCACGCUUGGCUUCUGGUCUCGCCAUAAACAGGCUUUGAGACUUGACGAGCCUUUGCACGCCUUAGAAAUUUUUUCGAAUGCUUUGGAGUCUGCUCGCCUUCACGUGGUCGAGCAGAUCCUGGCAUGCUUGGCUUCUGUCUCGCCAUAAAACAGGCUUUGAGACUUGACGAGCCUUUGCAUGCCUCAGAAAUUUUUUCGAAUGCUUUGGAGUCUGCUCGCCUUCACGUGGUCGAGCAGAUCCUGGCAUGCUUGGUUUCUGUCUCGCCAUAAAGCAGGCUUUGAGACUUGACGAGCCUUUGCAUGCUUGAGGUAGAGCAAUAUAGCAUACUGCGCAUACAGAUACUUAUAUAGGUAGAGCAAAAAGAAAAUUAUACGGUGUUCCCAUGUUGCGUGAUCUACAAGCUAUUGAAUCAGACUUUACGGGAAGAUCGUUGAUUGGCCUUCUGGAAAAACUAAGCUAGUAUGAAACAAUGACAAUGUUUUCCCAAUUGUUAUUUUCUCUCUGGGGAAAAUAUUGGGUGGGUUUAGAGCGUCAAUUGCUCCGUUUCCAUGUGAACAUGCUAGAGCUGUUAAUUUUUUUUUUCCUUAGUGAUGAGGACUUUUUUAACGACGGCAUAUAUAGUAAACAAAGUCGUUAUAAAAUUAUUCCAUAAGAUCUUUAAGUUAGAUCUUUUCUUUCAACAAAGACUUUUAAAUUAGAUGCAUUUAAUUAUAUUUAUUAUUUAGAUGUACCAUUCCAAUUUGUUGUUUUCAACACUAGUCAUGAAAAAUGUAAAAUAUUAAUAUGUAAAUUUUAUAUUAACUAUACUCUUUAAAAAUAUCUCAUCAACUUAUAAUAAAUGAUUUCUAAAUUGAAUCACAAAGUUGCUAAUUCUGUCCAUAAAUAGCUAGUUUUUAAUUGUUAGUUAUUUUUAUAUAAUGGUAGAUAGUAAUAGUAUAUGGUGAAUGAUAUAAUGUAAAAUAGUAAAAUAGCAUGAAAUUUGUUAAAUCACACACAAUGAAAAUUAGAUAAAUUUUAAAUUAUUAUUGAGAUUUGAGAAAAACGAUUGAUUGUCAUUGUUUUUAUUAAUCAAUACAAGUAUUGAUUGUCAAUCAACAUAAAAAUGCCUUUAGUCUUUGUUCAUCAAUCAUAUUCCCAGAUACCAUAUCAAUUGUAUCAAUUGUAUCAUUUCCAUUUUUUUCAUUCAUUAAUUAUAUAUUUUUUAUUUUUGAAAGAAUUCAUUCAUUUUAGAUAUUGACCAUUUGUGCUUAUUAAAAUGAAUUUCAUUAGUUUAUGUUCUUCGUCAAUCGUAAGAUAAAAGCAUUAUAUAUGAAGAUUAUUUUGUUUAACUUUUCACUAUACAUAUAAUUUAUCAAAACCAACAGUAAUGCAUUACGAAAUUUAUAUCAAUCAAGCAAUGUAAUUAUAAUUUAGUGAAGCUUGAAUGAAUGAGGGAAUUAACGACUAAAAAAACGAGUAUAUGAUCAUCAAAGAGGGACAUAAUAAAUAAAUCUUACCUUUUAAAACAUUGGUAUUUCAUUUAAAAUUUAGCAGUACUUAGGGGCUGGUUUUUUUUUUAUUUAAUAACUUAAUUGACUUAAUUUCAAUUGGUUAAGUCAUUAAGUCCCUUUUUUUUCAACUUAAUGAAAAAUUUUGGUCUUUAAGUCAUUAAGUUAUCUAGCCAAUUUUUUUUUUUACCUUUUUACUUAAUCUAAAAUGUCUAAAUGAUAUCAUUAGAAGAUAUUCUCCAAAAUAUCCCUAUCUAAUCAAUUAAUUUUCAUCCUUAACUAAAUAAAUUUUAAUAAUUAGCAUUAUUACUCAUUUGUAUAACUUGUGAUAAUAUAGUGGUAGAAUAUUAUUAUUUUUAUCUUUUUAUUUUCUUCAAAUUAACAUUAUUUAUCUUAAUAAUUUUUUUAUAAAUAUUUUUCAUAUAAAAAUGUCAUGAACUAUAAUAAAAUUGAUUAACAUAUACUAAUUUAGAAUAUAAAUGGUUGUAUUUAAUUAACUAUGAUUUAUAUUAUGAUAAUAUAUUAUUUUAUUUAAGUUCUUUGAGAUGUUUAUUAUUUAUUUAACAUUUAUAAUUUGUAAGGGUAUAAAUAUAAAAAUAUUAGUUUUUAGAUUUUAAAAUUAAAAAAAAACAACUUGAUAUUUGUUUUUAGCAAUUCAGACAAAAAAAAAAACAAACAUAUCAUUCAGAUUCAGAUAUUCAGUUCUAUUCUGAAUUUAAACUAAUUCAAGUAUAUUCAGAGUUCAAAUAAAAAAAACAAACGCCAUCUUAAUUUGAAUUUACUUACGUAUACAACCAUUCGGGAUCUCAUUUUUGUUGAUCACAAUUCGGGGAUGACUUUCAUGUCCCUGGACAAAUUAUUUCUAGACCAAACAUUAAUUCUUGGGAAAUAUGACUAGAAUGGAUGGGGACAUAACUGAAGAGGACUCCAAGGACCUUAACUUACUAGAAAGUAGNNNNNNNNNNNNNNNNNNNNNNNNNNNNNNNNNNNNNNNNNNNNNNNNNNNNNNNNNNNNNNNNNNNNNNNNNNNNNNNNNNNNNNNNNNNNNNNNNNNNCGUUGUCAGAUUGAGGUGAUACAACUUUUAAGUUGUAGCUGUUAUAGAAAUUACUAAAUCUUUUAGGUUAUUUUUGAAAAUAAAUCAAAAUUAUUUAUUUUUGAAUUCAUGUUACUAUCAAAGAUUUUUUCUUAAUAAAAUUAACCGUAAAACCGCAUGGGAUAACUCUAUGUGAAUACUUUUUAGUGAAUUUAUUUAAGGGUUUCAGAUUUCAGCAAACUCUAUUAGCUGCAGUUCGUCUUGUACGAAUAACUUUCUUUUUAAAGUAUGGAAUAAUCUACUUAAAGUAUUAUUUGCAUGAAUUACGUUCAUGCGAACAAUACUUAUCAAAAAUUAUUUGCAUGAAUUUUACCACAUAUGAAAAUAAUACAUGAAUAUAUGUGGUAUACAUAUAUUCAAUCUCUAAAAAUCCUGGGUAGCUCUUGUACUUGACUAGAGGAGUAUAUUUUUUAUAUUAACAUUGUGCGCUCAUCUACUCACGACUCAAUCUCCGCAUAAUGUUGCAAAUCAACCAUAUUUGCAAUCUCCCGAUUAAGGCCAUUCAGGAAUCGUGCCAUAAUAGCUUCUUUAUCUUCCUCCACAUUUACUCUAAUAAUGACAAUCUCCAUUUCUUUGUAAUAAUCCUCUGUACUUCAGCUAACUUGUGCAAGACUUUGUAAUUUUUGGUGCAAAUCUGGAUAGUAGUGGUUAGGUACAGAACGCCUUCUCAUCAACGAUUUCAUUUUAUCUUAUGUCUCAAUUGGACGUUUCCUAUUCUGUCUCCUGUAUAUAACAAGCUUAUCCUACCAAGUAAUAGCAUAGUCAGAAAACUCAAUCACGAUCAAUUUUAUUUUUUUUACAUCUGAAAAAUUAUGGCAAUCAAAUAUGAAUUCCAUUUUCUUCUCACAUUCAAUGUAUGCUUCCAAGUCAUAUUUACCUUGAAAAGAUGAAAUCUCAUCUUUAUGUCACUUAAUCUAUGAUCCCUAUUCCUAGCUUUGCUACCCCGUCCAUCUCUCCUAUAGCUACCCUCUGAGUGCUCCCCUUCAUCAUACUCAUCCUUAUAAUAGUCAUUGAUCUCUCCUCUAGCCAGAGCUCUAUCCCUCCUACGUGCUUGAGGAACGGGUUGUGGUUACCCCACACGUGUUCUCUACUUGAUCCAAACGCUUGCGUAUAUGCUCUAAUUUAGCCCUCAUCAUCCUUCUCAUAUGUCCCAUCAAUGCUUAAAUUUCCAAAAUCUGAGUAGUUGCGAAUUGAUCCUCUUUUUUUUUUUACAUGGUUCAGGGUUGUGAGACAUGGCUAACGUCUGCAAAAGAAAGUUAGAAAUAAUAUAGAAAGGACCUCACCUCACUUCCUUACGUGUUUCACUCAAGAAAAUGAUUCACUCAAUUUCACUCGUGUUUCACUCAAAUUUAUUGGCUUUUACCCUCUAAUAUGCUCACACUCUCUUGCCUUUUUCCACUCGUAGUAAUUCUUACUCGAUUCUUAUCAAAUUAAUCAAACUAAUAUCAAGAUUCUAAUAGCAAUUCACAAUGAUUAUACUAAGGAGACUCGAAUUUCAAGAGCAAGAAUGCAAUGUGUACGAAAGGUCGGGUUUCGAUUUCGGGCAAAAAUUUUCACCAUGUGUAAAACUAAUUUUGGACUCUACAAGACACUAAUAAAUGAAAAAUGAACAAAUGAUUUAAGGCGGACGUUGGGGAUUUUUUUUUUUUUUUAGUAAAAUGAAUAGGUGAAAUUUGCGGAUUUAAGAAUAAUUAAACCACAAAGAUGCAAAUUGAUGAAAAAGAAACCCUAAAAAUAUUGUUCAUGCAAUACUGUUCACAUGGCACUGUUCAUGACUCUUUUUUUAUUUUCUUAAUACUAGAACAAGAAUGAAAAAUCUCAAAUAAGAAUUUAAAACAAAAAAGAAAGAUGAAUAUGAUCUUAGUGCCUAAGCUCUAAUACUAAAUUAUACGAACCUCGUCAAGAAUUGACGCGACCCUAAUCAAUUUAAUCCCUAAGAUCGGAUCUAAACUUGAAAUUGAAUGAGUACUUAAAACCACAUCCUUGGAAGGACUAACAAUCAAAGAAGCAAAACUGGUGAUUCAAAUUCAGAAAGCUCAACGCCAAAAGAGAGGGACAAUGAGUACUUAAAACAAGGAUUGCCUGCAGUGGGAGGCCUGAGCAAUGAGUUCACCAAUGUAAAGAAAGCAGUUAGGAUAGAACAUGACACAUUCAUCAAUACAUGCUCCUCACUUGCAUCCCGCGUAGUAGAAAUCCGGCAACUAGUAACACGUUGUGCUAGCAGUGAGAGAGGCGGCUUUUUAAAGGAAAUGAAAGGGUUUCUGGAGGAUUGUGAAGAAGAGCUUAAGUUGGUGAGAGAAAAGCAAAAUAGGACUAUGGAACUUGUUAAGCGGACAGCAGAGUACUACCAAGCAAGAGGUUCCAAAGAAAAAUGGGAGCACCCACUUCAACUGUUUGUUAUAGUAAAAGAAUUUCUGGGCAUGGUUGAUAGAGUUUGUGCUGACAUUAGUCGAAAUUUACAGAAGAAGAAUGGGACUAUUAGCAGAUACAGAUAAUAAAUCAAUUAUUCAUUUUCUAUUAUUAGGAAAAUUGUCAUAACAAAACCAAAACGAUCUAAGUGGCUGUUUGGUAUGGCUUAUUUAAUGGGUAUAAGUGCUUAUUUAUUCUCAUAAACUCUUAUCAUAAUUUUUGUUAUUGUUUGGUUGUUUUUUAGUAGAGUUUUUAUAGAUUAAAUAAGUUAUUUUGUCUCUAAUAGAAAAAACUCAAAUUUUGAGCUUUUGAGAGUAGAGGUUGAAUUUUUUUUAAAUGUUAAAAUAUUUAAAAUAUCGUCUACUUAUUUGACAAUCUUUUUUUAUUCUUUUUAUAACAUAACAUAACAAAACUUGCAUAUUAAAAUAUUUUCAUAAAUUUUUAAUAAAAGCUCUUGUUGACAAAUAAACAAUUAAAAUUUCUUAGAUAAAAGCUCUUCUACCAAAAUCUUUACUUAAAUAAGCUUUACUUGAAAAAUUGUACUAAACGAAGCCUAAAUCUUAUAAAUUAACCUGCUAGGUGGGUCCUACAGUAAUUUGGGCCGAACUCUGGGUUAUCGCAAGGAUUUAGGCCCAACUCAAUCCAGAUCAGCUGCCUGUAACCGCGACGACUUGUAGCACAAGCCGCAAUGCAGUGAUUACGAAGGGAAUAGGAUCUACAGUUGCAGAAAACGUUUAUUGCUUACUGCAUUGUUCAUCUGCUAUAAGCUAUUAAAUAAAUAAUCUUAGAGCUGUUAUAAAAUAUAAUAGUAGUUAGUUUUCCAUCCCAGGAGAUGUCUGAACCUUUUUCAGUCUUGGAUAAAAGAAUUAGAUUUACCCGACUAAUAUUGUUUUAUUUGAGAAAGGGGAGAGAAGAAACCAGAAGUGGUUGCAUCGUGGGCGGCUUGACUCCUGAGCGAGCUACGAGCUUGACCUGGAUCAAAGUGAAAGUCGAGUCAACGAUUGGGUAAUACCCAAAAAAGGUCAUUUCCUUACACAAUAAUUUCCAGGAACGCGUUCAAAACUUAAAACAAGAAACAUUCUAUCUCCUCCACGACUUAAAGAUAAAAAAGACAAUAACAAUAAAUCAAGCAAAGCUUCUAAACCGGGAAAUUUUCUCAACAAGUAGUAUAACAGUUGUAGAAACGAUGGCAAGUGAAAGACUUGGAGAGGUGAUAAGCAUGAAAGAAGAGGUGAUCAAGAAAGCAUGCUCGAUAGCAAAUAGUGUUUACAGGGCAUUCCUCAGCCGGUCCAAUUGCCGUUUUAAUGACAGUUUGGUUCCUGGAAAAUUUGGAAAAAUUCAUAAAGUCAGACCCCAGCACCAGCCGAAUGCCACCUAUAUGCGUCACUUUUGGAUCACCUCUUGUUGGUGAUUUCAUAUUUAACCACGCUUUGAGGCGAGAAAGUUGGUCUCACUACUUCAUUCAUUUCGUAAUGAGGUACGACAUCGUCCCUCGGGUUUUGCUAGCUCCUCUCUCUUCCAUUGAGCCAGAACUGAAAAUUAUCCUCCAUUUCUUGAACCCAAAACAUACAACUCCCAUGCCAGAACCAACUGAGGAAGCUUCAGCUCUCUAUGUGACGGUGAUGAGGAAUGCAUCAUCUGUGGCAAGCCAUGCGGCCUGUCAUCUCAUGGGAAACACAAACAAGUUGUCUGAUACUUUGUUGAGUUUCGUUGAGCUGAGCCCCUAUCGACCCUUUGGAACUUAUGUCUUCUGCACAGGAGAUAGGGAACUGGUAGUAGUGAAAAACCCUGAUACCGUUCUGCAGAUAUUGUUCUAUUCUUCUCAGUUGAGCUCUGAAGUAGAAGGUCCAGAGAUUGCUCUCAGAAGCGUAAAGGACCACCUUAAUUACCAAAGCGAUCUGCAGAACUUAGAGACAAAAGGUGUCGCUCAUUUAGACAAUUUGCAAGGGCUUCCAUUGUCUUCCAAUGUCGGUGCCGCUGGCCUUGGCCUGGUCCUGAAUAACCUUGGCCUGGUAAGUCCGUUUCAAGAUAGUUUCAAAAUUAGUCUUUCAGUUUUAAAAGUUCCCCUAUCAGUUUUUUUUUUUUUUUUUUGCCCCCUUGGACUGACAUUUUGAAUCUUCGGUUUCCAGAGCACCAGGGCCAGACCCUGCCUUUGUGCUGCUGGAGAAUUAGAGGAUCAAAAAUGGAGAAACCUGGAAAAGAUUAAUAAAAAGAAGAUAGAUAUAGAGAGAGGACUACUAGCACUUGAAGGGUACAAAACCAGGUGCGAGGCUGGCAGAGUCAGCUAUUAUGAUGCAUUCAAGCUUUCAAAGGACACUGAUGAUUUCAAUGCAAAUGUUAAGAGGCUUGAGUUGGCUGGUAUAUUUGAUGAGAUUAAGGAAAUGUUGAAAAGGUAUGAACUUCCUGAUGAGUUUGAAGGCCAUAGAGAGUGGAUAGACAUCGGAACAAGGUACCGCCGCAUUGCUGAACCUCUAGAUAUUGCUAAUUACUAUCGACACCUAAAAAAUGAAGACACAGGUCCCUAUCUGAUAAAGGGCAGACCAAAACGAUACAGAUACACUCAGAGGUGGCUCGAAUAUGCCCUGAAGAUAUCGGCAGGAUCCAGCGGGGAAUCAUGUUUCUGGGCAGAGGUUGAGGAGCUCUGCCUCAGAACUAUUAAUAUGGGGCUGUUUGAAGAUGUCAAAGCACAUAUACUGUCCCUGGAGAAGCAGGUAGAUAAAUGGGUUCAGGAUAGGGAGUUAGGUGAUGAUAUAUUCUUUGAGGAUUCGACCUUCGUCAAGUGGUGGAAAACACUCCCUCAGCUACAUAGAUCAGGAUCAUGCAUUGCAAAAUUCAUCAAUAACUAAAAAAAUAAAUCUUAAAGCUAUCACCACUUGCUUCUAGAAGUGCAACUAUCAACCGUUGGUCCCUGCCCUGGCCGUGGAAGUUGUGUAAUUAGUUAACCUAAUAUCAUUAGUUUCUAUUUGUAACGUGUGCUUCAAUUAUAACUCAAGAGUGGAGACUCAUUUUGUAUUACGACCAAAUAAGUCAUUAGUGGAUUUUUGCCAAAUGUUAUUAACCAGUAGCAGCAUUAUUGUUGAAAUUAUACUGGCUGUCCGCUGGUAAUGCAUCCAUUUCGGGAUGCCACGCCGCUACUGUUUGUUCAAGAAUUCUGUCAUCCUGAUACAAAAACAAGGAAAGAAAAAUAAGGGCUCUCAAGAAGCAAGCCAUUCUCAACGUGCUAAGAUACAAUGUAUCGAAUAAAAUCAUCACUGUGCAGUUAUAGCGUAAGAACAACAUUAUUGGUGCAAAAUAUAAUAAGCUCAUAUCGAUCUUCAGAUAUAGAUUUAGACAACUUUUAGUGUUAAGCGAGUAAUAGCAAUAUAGCAUACUGCGCAUACAGAUACUUAUAUAGGUAGAGCAAAAAGAAAAAUUAUAUGGUGUUCACAUGUUGCGUGAUCUACAAGCUAUUGAAUCAGACUUUACGGGAAAAUCGUUGCGUAAUAUGUUUUCCCAAUUGUUAUAUUCUCUCUGGGGAACAUAUUGGGUGGGUUUAGAGCGUUAAUUGCUCCGUUUCCAUGUGAACAUGCAAAAAUUGCUAUUCUCCUAGAGCUGUUAAUUUGUUUUUUUUUUUUUCUUAGUAAUGAGGACUUUUUUAACGACGGCAUAUAUAGUAAACAAAGUCGUUAUAAAAUUAUUCCAUAAGAUCUUUAAGUUAGAUCUUUUCUUUCAACAAAGACUUUUAAAUUAGAUGCAUUUAAUUAUAUUUAUUAUUUAGAUGUACCAUUCCAAUUUGUUGUUUUCAACACUAGUCAUGAAAAAUGUAAAAUAUCAAUAUGUAAAUUUUAUAUGAACUAUACUCUUUAAAAAUAUCUCAUCAACUUAUAAUAAAUGAUUUCUAAAUUGAAUCACAAAGUUACUGUCCAUAAAUAGAUAGUUUUUAAUCGUUAGUUAUUUUUAUAUAAUGGUAGAUAAUAUAUGGUGAAUGAUAUAAUAUAAAAUAGUAAAAUAGCAUGAAAAUUGUUAAAUCACACACAAUGAAAAUUAAAUAAUUUUAAAAUUAUUAUUGAGAUUUGAGAAAAAUAAUUGAUUGUCAUUGUUUUUAUUAAUCAAUACAAAUAUUGAUUGCCAAUCAACAUAAAGAUGACUUUAGUUUUUGUUCAUCAAUCAUAUUCCCAGAUACCAUAUCAAUUGUAUCAUUUCCUUUUUUUAUUCAUUCAUUAAUUAUAGAUUUUUUAUUUUUGAAAGAAUCCAUUCAUUGUAGAUAUUGAGCAUUUGUGCUUAUUUAAAUGAAUUUCAUGAGUUUAUGUUCUUGGUCAAUUGUAAGAUAAAAGCAUUAUAUAUGUAUAUAUAUAUAUAUAUAUAUAUGAAGAUUAUUUUGUUCAACUUUUCACUAUACAUAUAAUUUAUAAAAAUCAACAGUAAUGCGUUGCGAAAUUUAUAUCAAUCAAGCAAUAUAAUUAUAAUUUAGUGAAGCUUGAAUGAAUGAGGGAAUUAACGACUAAAAAAAAAGUAUAUGAUCAUCGAAGACGUACAUAAUAAGUCUUACCUUUUAAAACAUUGGUAUUUUAUUUAAAAUUAGAAGGAUUAGGGCUAUUUAUUUUUUAAUCACUNNNNNNNNNNNNNNNNNNNNNNNNNNNNNNNNNNNNNNNNNNNNNNNNNNNNNNNNNNNNNNNNNNNNNNNNNNNNNNNNNNNNNNNNNNNNNNNNNNNNAAGUCAUUAAGUCCUUUUUUUUUCAACUUAACGGAAAACUUUCAAUCUUUAAGUCAUUAAGUUAUUUAAAAAAAAAUUGAUAUUUAUUUUUAACAAUUCAGAAAAAAAAUAAACAUAUUAUUUAAAUUUAGACAUUCAGUUCUAUUAAAAAUUUAAACUCAUUCAAAUUUAUUUAAAUUUCAUAUGAAAAAACAAUCACCAUCUUAAUUUGAAUUUACUUAUGCAUACAACCAUUUGGGAUCUCAUUUUCGUUGAUCACACUUCGAGGAUGACUUUCACGUCCUUCGACAAAUUAUUUCUAAACCAAACAUUGAUUCUUGGGAAAUAUGACUAGAAUGGAUAGUGACAUGACUGGAGAGACUCCAAGGACCUUGACUUAAUAGAAACCAUUCAUUUCAAUUUUCUUCACGUCCUUGCAAAAAUCCUACAGUAAGACAGAGUGUUAGACCAGUCACCGACAAACCAUAUUCUGGUUUUGUUUGAAAUUAAAGUGAUAUAACUUUUAAACUAUAGUUGAUGUAAAAAAAAUUUAUAAUUAUGAAACAAAGGUUACUAAUAUAUCAUAAAUAUAAUUUUUAAAUAAUAAUUUUAAUAAAAUUAUUAAAAAUAUGAUAAAUUAUCAAUAUAAUUUUUGUAAGAUAUAGCAGCUAGUGUUUAAUAAACAUUUUAGUGUUGCCCAACCUCAAUCUUAAGUAGGGCCUUGGUUUAGUCCAAAAUUACCUAGAAUGUUGAAAAAAAAAACUAGACUUUAAUUAUUAAAAUACCCGCUGAUUUACGUUAGAUUUUAUUGAUUCAAUAAAAGCUCAAAACUCGUCUGAAACUAGAAUUUAAUAUUUUUCAACUCCAAUGCAAAAGCUCAAAACUCGCAUGGAGUUUGAAUAAGUGCUUUCAAACUAGUUAUUUAUUCAAUAUCGGUUUAAAAGAAGUGAUACAGGGUGCUAGAGUGGAAAGAUUACAAGGAGUUAUUUCUUUUGAAGAGUGAUAAUUUUAAACAUUUUGUGAAAGAAAUGAGAAUCGAAUUUGAGUUUAAUGUUGAUAUGAUUUUUGUGUUGAUCUUUUAAAAAAAUUGAAAUUACUAAUUUUGGACGAAAAUAUUUAACUAAAUAAAUUUUAAACAUGAUAUAUGGCAUGGUCGAAAAUUAUAUAUCGAAAUCAUAAAUACAACUAAGAUUAUUGUUUAUUUGUAAAGCCCAAGUUAGCCCAAUUCUCAUGACCAGGCCCAAUCCUUAUGUGAUUAAAGUUAACAACAUAUGUUUGAUUUUUGGGAGGCACGUUGAUGUUUUCACAUCUGGUGGAUGAAGUGUGCGAUAAUUCAUGUGACCUGAAAACAUCUCGUUUUAUAAUUUCUCUUCCAAAUGAUGAAUUUAUAUUGAUAGUAUAUUAAUUGAAUACAAAUUAUGUAUCUCAAAUUAAAAAAAAAAAACAUAUUAUUAUUUAUAAUAAAAAAUUCUCAAAUACAGACAUUUACAUUGUAAAAUAGAUUAUUCAUAUAAAAAAUUUGAGAUACAAAUUUAUAUCCUAAUAUUACGUGACAACCGUAUAAAUUUAUACACAUAAAUAAGAAAUAAUAAAAUUACAAAAUUUUGUAUAAAUAAGAAAUAAUAAAAUUACAAAAUUAACUAUCUCAUAACAUUAUCAGACUAUUAUAAUCCAAAUUUGUAAUGCCUAUCGUUAUUCUUUCGGAGAUCCUUAAUUUUGAUGACGAAUUGGGUUGGGGCCCUCAUUAAGAACGACUCAAACUAUGUCUUUACCUAUGAUUUAGAAAAUGAUAAGGGUCUCAAUGUUAUUAUACCGUUAUUAUAUAAGUCAUUUCAUCCUCAAGCUCAGGGGAACGUCGUCGUGUUAAAAACCUUCAAAAUUGAAAAGCUCUGUUUGAAGCUAGUGAGCAGAACACCCGCUUUCUCUUCCCUCGUCCAAUAUUUUCCCGGAAAAUCGAAAGCUUUCCAGGAAACCAGACAGAACGUAACUGUUUCGACAAGCAUGGAAGAAUCAGAAUCGAAUCGUGUAGCAGAGGAAGUUAACGAGGCAAAAAUGAGCAGAAAGGAGAAGAAGAAGAUGGCGAAGAAGAAGAGGAGGAAAGAGAAGAGGAAAGAAAUGGCGGCGAAGGAGAGAGAAGAAGAGGAAGCGAGGUCGAAGGAUCCGGAGGAGCGGAGGAAGUUCGAGAUGAUGAUUAAAGAAGAGGAGGAAAAGAGAGAGAGAGUGUUGAAGGAGUUUGAGGAGAGAGAGAGGCUUUGGAUUCAAGAGAUGGAGUUGAAGAAGAAGAAAGUAGAAGAAGAAGAGGAGAGAAGGAAAGUUAUGGAAGAUAGAGAAAAAGAAGAGGCAGCCAUGAAACAAUUACAGGUUUGUUUUAUUUUAUUUAUUAAAAAGAAUUUUGCAGUUUUUGUUUGGGUUGGUGUGUGUGUUUGGCUGCUGGGAAAGUUGGAGGAAAUAGGAAAUUUAAUAGAAUUUGUGGCCGCUAGAAUUGAUUUUUCCGGAGUUAUUUUUGUUGUAAAAAUGGAAAUUAAGUAUUUUUGUGAGACUUGUUACCGUUGUGAAUUUUUGUUAGGCUCUUUGAAAAUGUUGGAAUGGGAGAGAAUGCAAUUCUAGGUUUAAUUAUCGAUGGGUAUUCAAUAUCUUGCAGGUUGAAAAGGAGAAUGAAUGUGAUGAGGAUGAUGAUUGGGAAUAUGUUGAAGAAGGGCCUGCAGAAAUUAUAUGGCAAGGAAAUGAGAUUAUUAUCAGGAAGAAAAAAGUUAAUUGUUGUUAAGGAUAUUUUACGAAGUUUUCAAUCUUUAUUUUAUAUACAUGAUUUUAUUGGAGUAAUCAAUCUCCAUAGUGAUAAUAACAAAUAAUAAUAGAAAACCUUCGUUCUACAAAUUACUAUAGUUUAGCCCAAAAAUUAAAAAAAAAAAAAGGGCUAACAAGUUUUAUUUGCCAAACAUAGUGACAAAUUUUCCAUAAAAAAGUAGCAGUACAAUGGUAGGUUGUAUAGCUAGUUAAAGUUACAGUACUUGGUAGUGAUGCUUGGAUUUUAGGUGCUUUCAAAAGAAGCCGAUCCAAGGUUUUGGAAAAAUCACAUAUAGGUCCUUCCUAUCAUUAGAUGUAUUUUAUUUAGUACUUUUUUUUUUAUUUUGUCUAUAUCUCAACCUUCAGAUCAUUUUUCUCUAGCUUAUCCUCUCACUUUUUACACUCCAAUUUUAAUGAAAAAAAUUAAAAAUGUAAUAUUAUAUGCUUGAAUUUUUUUUACUCGAAAUUAGAAUAUUAUAUUUGGCGAUAUAAUUAUCUUAAGUUCAAUUUGUAAAUAUAUUAUGUAUAAUGUUUAAUUUAAACUUUUAAUUUUCUCAAUUAAGUGUUUAAUUAAUUGCGAGGCAGGGCAAACCUUUAACCCAGAAAUAAGGCAAGAUUGAUAAAAGUACAUACUAUAAUUUAUAAAAAUACUUAAAAGUACAUAUUCUUAAAAGUACAUUUCUCUUAACUUGGCGCUUAGUCGAGAUCAUUCGUUGGAAAAAAAAAAAUAGUUUAUCUAACAAAUAAUUAAAUGCGACGGCGUUUGAGACUGGAAAAAGAAAAAUAAAAAAUUCAAGUUUGAACCAUUUAUUUUUAUCAUUACCUCACAUCACUAGAAUAAUAAAAGCUAAGAAGGAUAGAAGAGGAAGAAUGAGGAGGAUCCAAAUCCAUAAUCUAAAUCUAAUUUUUUUUUUUUUUUGGUUUUGACCACGAGGUAUUCUGGGGAGGACCCCAACUGUGGGAAGCACCUUUAAGCCCGUACCACAACCCAGAUUAGAAGUCCCCGCUCGAACCGAGAGGCACAUGUUCUCCCAAUAAAGGCGACUUCCCUGCGACUCGAACUGGGGAGCAAACCCAGUCAAGCCACUUAAAGGGACUUCAUUGCCAGUGGAGCCAACAUUUUGUUGGUCUAAUUAAUUAGUUAUACUCACUAAUAUCAUUUAGAAAUUUCAGUUUAAUCUUGUUGAGCUUGGCUACGGCAUCUUUCAUACAUAUCCUCUGGUCGGGUGAAUCCAUGCUACAAUCCAAAGCCAAAUGCAUGAUGCUCAGCAUACAAUCCAUUUUGGCUGCAAAAGCUGGCUCUUCUAGCAGCAAAUUUUCAUCCACAACGUUUGUCAAUCCAUGAGGCAAUGACUCCUUCACCCAGUUCUUUAAACUCAUUUCUCCAGCAAAAAAUUCAUCUGUGGGUUUCUUUCUUGUGAAAGUUUCCAUCAACAAAACACCAUAUCUAUAGACAUCGCAUUUGGAUGAAACAAUUCCCUCUGAUCCGUAUUCUGCAAAUUUAAAAAUUUUCAAUUUAUCACACGUUAUUAAUUAUGAUUUAAAUGACUAAUAAAUUACUAUAGUCUUAAUUUUAUUAAAAAAAAAAGAUUAUAAUAUAUUCUUGAAAGAUUACCUGGUGCCAUGUACCCAACGGUGGCCAUUGUCAUGGUUCGUGUCUCAAAAUUUUCUCCAUCACCUAAGAGUUUGGAAAUGCCAAAAUCACUCACAUGUGCCACCAUAUUUUCAUCCAAGAGAAUAUUACUGGGCUUCAAAUCACAGUGAACCACAGAUGGGGAAUAACCGUGAUGGAGAUAUUCGAGAGCAGAUCCCACAUCUAUCAUCACAUUCAACCUCUCUUGGAUAUCUAGAAAAUAGUUGUGAGAAUACAACCACUUCUCAAGACUACCAUUGGGCAUGAACUCGAGUACCAGAGCCUUAAAAUCAACAUUACUGCAGCUACUAAGAAUCUUUACAAGGUUUCGGUGGCGAAUGCUUCUCAAUACUUCACAUUCAGAGUCAAAACUUCGAAAUGCUCUCUCCAACUGUAAGUUGAAAAUCUUUAUAGCAACCUCAGCCCCAUCCGAGAGUAUCCCUUUAUACACUGAGCCAAAGCUACCUUUACCAAGCAAGUUGGCAUUCAUCAAAUCCAUUUGUUGCUCGUUCAAUUUCUAGAUACGAAAUUCUUCUCCACGUUGCCAGAGGUGAAAAAUCUUCUUGAUGAGCAGAAUUCAUUGAAGCCUUAUUGCGACGUCUCAUGAAGACAACAACAGUCAUUAUCAACAAAAUGGACACGAUUGGAGGUAAGACAUAUUUGAGGAAAAGUGUAACAAUGGCUUUCUUGGAUCGUCUUACGGUGCCAUCAUCCUUGCAGGGUGGGACUUGUAGUCUUGGUGAACCACAAAGUGCAUAAUUCCACAUAAACGAUUGAGCCGAGAAGUUUCUAAAAGGCCCAUUUUCAGGAAUUUUCCCUUCCAGUAUAUUGUGAGACGCAUUCAAAUGUUUGAGAUAUAAAAGUUUCUCCAGUGACUUAGGAAUCUCACCAGAAAGAUUGUUACUAGAGAGAUCUAAGAUUUCCAAGCUUGUGAGAUUGCCAAAUGACUCAGGGAUGUGACCUUGAAAUAGAUUACCAGCUAAUGAUAGAUUAAGAAGCUCUUGAAGGCCGCCAAUGGCUGUUGGAAUAUCACCCGAUAAUUGAUUCCUUGAUAAAUCUAAAAGUAUCAAGGCCUUCAAGCUCUUCAUACUUGAAGGGAGAGAACCAGUUAAUGAAUUUGAUGACAAAUCUAUUUGUAAGAUGCCUUCGAGAGUCCACAAGGAUGAUGGUAUAAUAGAGGUGAGAUUAUUUGAGCCUAAGAGAAGAGAUCUUAGAGAUGUCAAACUUGCCAAGCAUGGGGGUAUAGAUCCAGUGAGCUUAUUUUCAUAUAACAACAAUGAAUUCAACCCCUUUAAGUAGCAAAGCUCAUAUGGAAUGGGUCCUUGCAAAUUAUUCUGACGAAGACUUAGACUUUGGAGCUUCUUUAGUCUUCCUUAACUUGUUGGAAUUGUUCCAUUUAACUCAUUGUUUUGGAGGCUUAAUGUUAUCAAGCCAUGCAAAUUACCAAUUUCUUUGGGAAUGUUGCCCUUGAGCUGGCAAUCGUAUGCGAAGAAUUGCUCAAGAGAUGAAGAGAAAUUCCCAACUGAUGGUGGAAGGAUGCCACCAAAUGGAUUAAGUGCUAAAACGACUCGUUUUAUAUCUCUGCAAUUUGUCAAAGAAGAGAGAAAACUCCAAUCUUCUUCGGUAGAUGAUGACGUUCCCGGGAUGGUCAAGUUGUUUCCCAUAAUGGUAAACCUCACCAGGUGUCUCAAUUUUCCAAAUGUGUUUGGAAUGCGGCCAGAGAAAUAGUUGAAGCUCAAGUCUAGGGCAUAGAGUCUAGAAGCAUUGGUGAUGGAAUUAGGAAUUGUUCCGAUAAGUCUAUUUUCGGACAAGUCAAGAAUCUCCAUGUUCUGAAGCGAGUAGCCAGCAGUUGAUGGCAGGUGGCCUGAGAGUUCAUUUGCUGCUAGGGUAAUAAGAUUUACGGUUGACAAGUUGAAAAUGGUGGAGGGAAUAUGACCAGUUAAUUUGUUGUGAAAAAGAAGAAGAUUUUGCAGAUUUUGUAGAUUGCCAAUCUCGUCUGGAAUUUCACCUGCCAGAAUGCCAACAUUGAGGAGUUAUAUAAAUUUUGAGCUUUUCAAUUCUACAAUAACAGAUGUGCUUAUUAAUAUCAACAAAGAGAUUGAUGAGUAAUAUUUAUUUAUUGUUAGGUGUGAAACAAUAAAUAUAAAAGUUAAUUACAGAAUAAUUUUAAGAUCGGUGAAGCUGCAUUCCUUAAAAUUAAAUUUCAUAUACUGGUUCAUAGGAACUAGACCAUAUGUAUGGCAUAUUAGUGGAGAUAUAAAUUUUGUAUCUUAAUAUUUGACUUGAUAAUUUUGAGAGUUAAAACAUGAGUAAAACAAAUAAAAAAGUUGUAUAUAAUUCAAAAUUUAUUUUAUAUAAAUUAAGAUAUAACCAAUAACAGAACAACUAAAACUCCAACAAAAAAUCAUUCUUAAAAUAAAAGAGCAUGCAUGAAAAUUUGAUAACUUGUGCAUGAAAAAACAAGAAAAAAUAUACAAUAAUAUUAGAAUCCUAAUAUUUGGCCCUCGAGUAUUAAACUAACGUAACAAGUGAUCUUUAAUUGCUACCUCAUACUAAAUAUUAAGGGAAAUUAUCAUUGCACCACUUUUGUUUUGCUUCAUAUUCAUCCAACCACCACAAAAUUGUAACAUGUUCUCUGCACUACCUUUCUUUUCACAUUUGUAUCAACUAACCACUUUUGCACUAACACUGUUAAAUAAUUUAAAUAAAAUGAUAAUUUUACCCCUAAAUAAAUUAGAAGACCAUUUUAUUUUAUAAAAACUUUAAAAAAAUUAUAAUUAUAAAAUAUCCUUAAAUUUAAUAAAAAUAAAUCCCAAAAUUAGAAUUUUUAUUUUUAAUAAAAAAUAUUUUAAUAUAAAUUAUAAUUAUAAAAAAUUGUGAAAUUUUGAGAUUUAAUAAAAAUCCCCUAAAUUAUUAAAAUUUUAGGAUUUAUUCUUUUAAGAAAUAAAUUCAGUUAUUUUAAUAAAAUUUUACAAAAUUAUAAUUUUUUAAUAACAUUUUACAAAAUUAUAAUUUUUUAAUAAAAAUAAUUAAUAAAAUUUUGUAAAAUCUAAAUUUAAUAAAAAUCAAUUGAGCACCUCUAUUUGGGAUUUAUUUUUUAUUAAACUUAGGGAUAUUUUUAUGAUUAUAAUUUUUUAUAUUUCAAAAUUUAUAUAAGAUAAAAUAGUCUUUUAAUUUAUUUGAGGGUAAAUUUAUCAUUUUAUUUAAAUUAUUUAACAAUGUUAGUGCAAAAAUGGUUAGUUAAUACAAAUGUGAAAACAAAGAUGGUGCAGAGAAUAUGUUAUAAUUUUGUGGUAGUUGCAUGAAUAUAAGACAAAAUAAAAGUGGUGUAAUGAUAAUUUCUCAAAUAUUAAUAAAUAAUCUGAUUUAAUGGAGCCUCAUCAGUUGAGACUCAACUUGUGUCAUUCAUUAUGUGGUUGAUAAUUUUUUCUAAUUUCCUAAUGAAUUGCAUAUAUUAUCUCAUAAUCUGAUCGAUGAAUUCCAUAUCAUUUAGUAUGAAAUUUUGGGGUUUGUACCACUUUCUAAAAAAAAUUAAUUUUACCCUAAAGAUUUAUGAUUUUUUUUUCCUUUUGAAGUACUUAGAAAUUGAUGCCACGGGCUAAGCUAAAAAACUGAAAUCUCGUUCUUUUAUAUCUGCUGUUGGGUGCUGGAUUUUUUCCUUAAAAUUAUUUAUUCAUGUGUAGAUUGUAAAAGUAGGAGUACCGGUAAAGCGUAAAUAAACUUUUUAACCCAUACCAUUCGAACAUGAAUAAUCAGCUAAAAAAUUAAAUUAUUUGAAGACUGUUCAGCCAAUUAAGCCCCUAUGGCUCAGUCCUUCUCUUUCUUCUGCUACGGAUCCCUCUCGAAAGAGCAGGUCGGAUUUUGAUUUGUGUAGUUUCUAGCAGUAGUUAUUGCACCAUAUUAUAAAGUGUGUUCUGCAAAUUGAAAUGGAAGCUUUAAAAAGACGAGGUGGAAGGCACGUACCUUGAAGGUUGUUAUUACCAAGAUUUAGAUGCAAGAGCUUACUCAAAUUUCCAAUCUUGGUGGGAAUUUUCCCACCAACAAUAUUGAACCUCAUCUCCAACGUCUCCAGCUUUGAUAAGUUGUACAGAUAAUCCGGGAAGGGACCUCUGAAGCUGUUAUUGCGAAGACUAAACAUUCGUAGUUUCGGCAAGCUGCCAAUCCAGGAUGGAAGGACUCCACUCAAUUGGUUGAAAUUGAAAUCAAUGAGUUUGAGCCUUCGUAAUUGCCUCAAUUCAUUAGGCAGAUGGCCAUGAAAAUUGUUACCACUAAUAUUAAGAGACACCAGAAAUGAAAUAUUUCCCAAGUGUGCCGAAAUGGGGCCUUCGAGACUAGAAUCUGAAAGAUCCAAUUUUGUGACUCUAUGAUGACGAGUGUCACAAGAAAUGCCGACCCACCUGCAUACUGGAUAAGAAACUGACCAAUUGUACGUCAGGAUACCUCGAGGAUCAAUGAGUUGCUCUUUGAAUGCAAGAAGAGCAUGUUGAUCCGUCGUUAUGUUUUUAACACUACUCGCAGGCAAAGCUAAGCUGGACACGAUGAAAUAGCGUAAGAGCAACAUUAUUGGUGCAAAAUAUAAUAAGCUCAUUUCGAUCUCCAUAUAUAGAUUUAGACAACUUUUAGUGCUAAGCGAGUAAUAGCAAUAUAGCAUACUGCGCAUACAGAUACUUAUAUAGGUAGAGCAAAAAGAAAAAUUAUAUGGUGUUCACAUGUUGCGUGAUCUACAAGCUAUUGAAUCAGACUUUACGGGAAAUUCGUUGAUUGGUCUUCUGGAAAAACUAAACUAGUCUGAAACAAUGACAAUGUUUUCCCAAUUGUCAUAUUCUCUCUGGGGAACAUAUUGGGUGGGUUUAGAGCGUCAAUUGCUCCGUUUCCAUGUGAACAUGCAAAAAUUGCUAUUCUCCUAGAGCUGUUAAUUUGUUUUUUUUUUUUUUUCUUAGUGAUGAGGACUUUUUUAACGACGGCAUAUAUAGUAAACAAAGUCGUUAUAAAAUUAUUCCAUGAGAUCUUUAAGUUAGAUAUUUUCUGUCAACAAAGACUUUUAAAUUAGAUGCAUUUAAUUAUAUGUAUUAUUUAGAUGUACCAUUCCAAUUUGUUGUUUUCAACACUAGUCAUGAAAAAUGUAAAAUCUCAAUGUGUAAAUUUUAUAUGAACCAUACUCUUUAAAAAUAUCUCAUUAACUUAUAAUACAUUAUUUGUAAACUGAAUCACAAAGUUGUUAAUGCUGUCCAUAAAUAGAUAGUUUUUAAUUGUUAGUUAUUUUUAUAUAAUGGUAGAUAGUAUAUGGUGAAUGAUAUAAUGUAAAAUAGUAAAAUAUGGUGAAUGAUAUAAUGUAAAAUAGUAAAAUAGCAUGAAAUUUGUCAAAUCACACACAAUGAAAAUUAGAUAAAUUUUAAAUUAUUAUUGAGAUUUGAGAAAAACGAUUGAUUGUCAUUGUUUUUAUUAAUCAAUACAAAGAUUGAUUGUCAAUCAACAUAAAGAUGGCUUUACUCUUUGUUAAUCAAUCAUAUUCCCAGAUACCAUAUCAAUUGUAUCAUUUCCUUUUUUUUCAUUCAUUAAUUAUAUAUUUUUUUAUUUUUGAAAGAAUUCAUUCAUUUUAGAUAUUGACCAUUUGUGCUUAUUAAAAUGAAUUUCAUGAAUUUAUGUUCUUCGUCAAUCGUAAGAUAAAAGCAUUCUAUAUAUAUGAAGAUUAUUUUGUUUAACUUUUCACUAUACAUAUAAUUUAUCAAAAUCAACAGUAAUGCAUUACGGAAUUUAUAUCAAUAAAGCAAUGUAAUUAUAAUUUAUUGAAGCUUGAAUGAAUGAGGGAAUUAACGACUAAAAAAAAAGGUAUAUGAUCAUCGUAGAGGGACAUAAUAAAUCUUACCUUUUAAAACAUUGGUAUUUCAUUUAAAAUUUAGCAGGACUUAGGGGCUGUUUUUUUUCUUAAUCACUUAAUUGACUUAAUUUCAAUUGGUUAAGUCAUUAAGUCCCUUUUUUUUCAAUGUAAUGAAAAUUUUCGGUCUUUAAGUCAUUAAGUUAUUUAGCCAAUUUUGUUUUACCUUUUUACUUAAUCUAAAAUGUCUAAAUGAUAUCGUUAGAAGAUAUUCUCUAAAAUAUCCCUAUCUAAUCAAUUAAUUUUCAUCCUUAACUAAAUAAAAUUUAAUAAUUAGCAUUAUUACCCAUUUGUAUAACUUGUGAUAAUAUAGUGGUAGAAUAUUAUUAUUUUUAUCUUUUUAUUUUCUUCAAAUUAACAUUAUUUAUCUUAAUAAUUUUUUUAUAAAUAUUUUUCAUAUAAAAACGUCAUGAACUAUAAUAAAAUUGAUUAACAUAUACUAAUUUAGAAUAUAAAUGGUUGUAUUUAAUUAACUAUGAUUUAUAUUAUGAUAAUAUAUUAUUUUAUUUAAGUUCUUUGAGAUGUUUAUUAUUUAUUUAACAUUUAUAAUUUGUAAGGGAACAAAUAUAAAAAUAUUAGUUUUCAGAUUUUUAAAAUAAAAAAAAACAAUUUAAUUUUUUUUUAGCAAUUCAGACAAAAAAAACAAGCAUAUCAUUCAAAUUCAGAUAUUCAAUUCUAUUAUGAAUUUAAACUAAUUCAAUUUUAUUCUGAGUUCAAAUAAAAAAAAAACAAACGCCAUCUUAAUUUGAAUUUACUGACGUAUACAACCAUUCGGGAUCUCAUUUUCGUUGAUCACAAUUCGGGGAUGACUUUCAUGUCCUUGGACAAAUUAUUUCUAGACCAAACAUUAAUUCUUGGGAAAUAUGACUAGAAUGGAUGGGGACAUAACUGAAGAGGACUCCGAGGACCUUGACUUACUAGAAACCAUUCAUUUCAAUUUUCAAUUUUCAAUUUUCUUCACGUCCUUGCAAAAUUCCUACAGUAAGAGAGAGUGUUGAACCAGUCACCAAUGAACCAUACUCUAAUUCUGUUUAGAAUUGAGGUGAUACAACUUUUAAGUUGUAGCUGAUAUAGAAAUUACUAAAUCUUUUAGGUUAUUUUUGAAAAUAAAACAAAAUUAUUUAUUUUUGAAUUCAUGUUACUAUCAAAGAUUUUUUCUUAAUAAAAUUAACCAUAACACCGCGUGGGAUAACUCUAUGUGAAUACUUUUUAGUGAAUUUAUUUAAGGGUUUCAAAUUUCAGCAGACUCUAUUAGCUGCAGUUCUUCUUGUAUGAAUAACUUUCUUUUAAAAGUAUGGAAUAAUCUACUAACAGUAUUAUUUGCAUGAAUUACGUUCAUGCAAACAUUACUUAUCAAAAAUUAUUUGCAUGAAUUUUACCAUAUAUGAAAAUAAUACUUGAAUAUAUGUGGUAUACAUAUAUUCAAUCUCUAAAAAUCUUGGGUAGCUCUUGUACUUGACUAGAGGAGUAUAUUUUUUAUAGUAACAUUGUGCGCUCAUCUACUCACGACUCAAUCUUCGCAUAAUGUUGCAAAUCAACCAUAUUUGCAAUCUCCUGAUUAAGGCCAUUCAGGAAUCGUGCUAUUAUAGCUUCUCUAUCUUCCUCCACAUUUGCUCUAAUCACUACAAGAAAAAGGACCUACUAUGACAAGUAAAACUGUCAUAGUAGGGGUUGGAUUACGGUUGUUCGUUGUAGCCAGCGUUAAGAAUUAACGACAGAACAAUACCUAUCACAGCCUGUGAUAGAUAUAACUAGUCACACAACUAUCAUAACUUUAUAAGAAGGAAAUAUAAUAAUUUUGAAUUUGACCCCCUUUUUUUAAUUUGGCAUGCUAUAUUUUGAACUUUUAGCGGGAAAUCUUAAAUUUGGAGCGAAAAUAAAAAUAAAAAUAAAAAUAAAUUGAAUUUUUUUUACAAUUAAUUCUGAAAUUAAAAUUAUAAUUAAUAAAAAUGACUAUUUUGUUACUACCAUGAAAUCAUUAUCAUUUUUAAAAAAAUCUUUUUAGAAAUUAAAAUUUCAUAAUUUAGUUAAUUAAUUAGAUUGUUGAAAUGAAUAUUACAAAUAAAAAUUCACUGACAAAGAAAAUGAAAUGAAUAACACUGAAUAAUUAUUGAUAAUUGUCAACAAAUAUAAUUUAUCCAAAUACAAGUGACAAGCCCAAAAUAAAUAGAAAGUAUGUAACAACAUAAAAACCAAAUUUCAGCAACAUGUAGAAGACUAGCAAUUUUGAGACUAAUGAACCAUGAUCAGUUCAUUUCCAGCAACACAACCAAGCCAACAACACUGAUCAGACCAAAAAAAAAUUCAUUCUAGCAGUUUUAGUAAAGCAUACAACAAGUACCAAUCUAAGAAGCUAAACGUGCAAAGAUGCACCAAUACUCAGGACUUGUUUUGGCAUCAAAGAAAAAAGAUGGCCAACUCCAGCAAUACCCACCAUCUUUAUCAAAUUCCAACAUAGCAAGUGUAACAAGGUAGGUAACUGCACAAGUAAAAUAUAACUUUAUCAAAUUCAAAGUCUGUGACAAUGCAUAUAGAUUAGAAUACUAGGCAAUAGAAUAAUAGCUAGCUGAGGAUCGAAUGGAAAUUUUUUGAAAUUCAUCAAAUUUGAUCUCAGCUAAUAAAUUACCUAGGUGGCUUCCCCUUUCAUACCAAUUUAGUAUAUCUGAGUUGUGUCACUCUCAAAAUUGUCAGGGAAGUGUAUUGUGUAAAAUAGCUUUUGCAGCAUAUUUUUUGAAUCAUAUCUUCAAAAAUCCUACAUCCUCAAUAGAACUUCAAAAGAUAACCAGACAUAAUCAAUCAACACAACAAAAAUGUUUACCUAAUUGUAAUGUGAAAAAAGUCAUGCCAAUAAAUCAAAAGCAAAUCAAUAUUACAAGUAAAACUCAAUGAACAUAAUUUUAAUUCAAAAUAGAGACAUAGAACUAGAUUCAAGUACAAAAGUCUAUGGCUAUGGUGCAAGGAUGAGGACUUUUAUGAAGUCGACCAAACUUUCAAUGAAUGAUUCAAGGAAAUCAGUAACGAAUAGACUCUGUGCAGCAACAAAUAUUUUUCAAUCACAUAUAUGCCAUCCACGUUUCAGACACACUUCUUGGAAACAAGUCAAUGUCUAGAUAAAAGGUGAACCAUAAAAGAGUAUAAAGUGCACAAAUUACCCCAGAAGAAUUCAUAUGUUACUCCCAUGCUUUAAAAACUGACUUGACACUCCCUGGAACAGUCUUAUUUAAUGCAAACACCUAAAAAAACAAUCCAAUAAAAACGAAAAAGGAAAAAUUACUGAAAACAAUUAAAUGAAAUGAACUGAAAAAACAAACAACAAUAAUUUCUUUUCAAUCCUUGACAAUGAAAUGAACAAAAAAUAGAGCCAACAACAGCUCAGAAAGAAGUAGCUCCCAGUCACAAAGCAAACAAGGCAUUCAUUCACAUGAAGCAGCCCUUCACCAGACCUGUAAAGGACCAUAACCCAGCCUAUCUACUGCAAAGUACACUAAAACAUGGUGGGGAAAAUUAUCUUAAAACAGCUCCCGGGCAAUUACCACAGAAUUUUUUGAAAGCUCACUGAUGUGAUGCGAUGGAGCUUCUUUUAUGAUAUGCACAGCUUUUUGGUUUGGCUUUGAGCACAAUCAAAAUCCAAAAACAUCAGUGAGUAAGAAAACUAAGCUAAGCAGAUAAGGCCUUUGCAAAACAAAUUGUAAAGUAACUAAAUGCAUACAAAAACAGAAGCAUCAAGGUCAAGCUAACCUCAGAAGUAGCAUUAUUAUCUACUGAAGUCUUUGCUUCAACAAAUUUCCAUGAAGCAGACAUGUUACUUGUCCUCAAAGAAUCAAGUAUUGAAAGGCCCAAAUCGAUUUUGUUGGCUGCGAUAACAUCGAUGACAUAAACAUUGGUUUAAAUAAUUUGCCACAUAUAUAGUUAAUAUAAUUAAUAACAGGAAAGCAUAGUUGCUGUAAGUAAGGUAAUACAAAUAACUUGUAACUAAAACUCUUCACCAACACACACUUACAUCUUUUGAUAGUAGAGAUUUAAAGUACUACGGUGCCAUUUUUUCUUUCCAAUGUAAUUUUGCACUAGUCAAUUAAAUUUUUAACUACAUAAAUAAAGAGAGUAACCAAGAUCUCUUAACUUAAAUAAUAACAAUAAGAAAAUAAAAUAUAGCAACAAGCUACAUGCUUGCUAGAACCACUUGGAAUAUCAUUUCAAUCUAGCACAAGUAACAACAAUAAUUUUCAAAUAAGUGACAAAGAUUAACAAACUUCGAACAAAAACUACUGAAAAUCUAAUGCUAUAUUACACAAGCAAAGUACAAUAUUCUAGUCACUCAAGGAGCUAAUAUGGUGCUUUUAGAAGCUUAGAGUUGACGUUCAGUAACCAAAAAUAAAUAAAUAAAAUAUAUAACCAAAAAGCAAAAAGCACCAAUGCCAUGAGUAAAUCAGGAUUUUAUAGAAUGCAAUAAAACAAACAAUAGGUCAAGUUUAAAAGCAAGCAAAAAUAAUUUAAAAAAAAACCUAAAACAACCGAAAGUGAGAUAAAUGUUAGAUUUGAAAAUAUACAAAUUAAAAUGAAUGAUCUAAAUAAUUAAUUAAUCAGAGAGAAUUAACCAAUCGAAGAGGAGGUGCAAAGCCCUUGGCCAACAAAGAAGAUCAACCGCACAAGAACUGAGAAGAAAAUAAUAGGAUCCCCAAUUUGAAGACUGAACAAAAUGUCAAGGUGAUUAGCUGCACAAGAACAAAACCGAUAUCAUUCUAUAGGUUCAGGUUUCGUUCAUUCCAGCAACUAGUACAUUUAAGCACAUAAAUUUUAGGAAAAAAAAUCAUUUUCCAACCCAGUGAACAAAUUUUAGAUAAACCUUUAGUGCUUAGAACUACACCUUUAGUGUUGAAAUUGACAAGAAAUUUUAAUUAAAUUAACAUGCAAGAGAAAAUAAGGAGAAUAAUUACCUGUGUUAAUCGAAAAAUUGAGCUUAAUCAACGAUGGGUUUUUAGUUAGGGUUUUGAAAUGCAACUGUUGUGGCACAUGUUCAGUGGGUUCUUCGUGUGGAUCUCGAUGAUGGCCAAAAUCAACGGUGAGUGACAAGGUAAAAUCGACGCCGGGACCUGAGAUAAAAUCGACGAUGUUACUGAUGCAAGGGUUUGAGGCGAUAUGUUGUUAUGAGAGUGAGACCGUGUGAAGGUGAGAGACUUUGAGUUUUGGCUAAACACUUGGGAAAAAAACCGAUACGAAAUGUUUUGUGUUUAUUCAUUUUUAUUUACUUUUCUCUAAACGCUACCGUUUCUUCUUUUUUUUUCCUUUCAUUUUUUAUUUAUCUUGUUUAAUAAAAUCAUUUUAAAAAUUUAAGUCAAAUCAUUUGAAAAUAAAGUCAAAAUAAAAAUUUAUUUCAAACUGCCUGACGGCCAAAAUUACUAUCACAGACUAGUCAUCAAUUUAUGAUAAUCUAAUAUCCAUCACAAAUCUGUCUCACUAUUAUGAUAGAACAAAUUUUUAUCACAAUUUUAUCAUAUUUUAUUGACAUAAAAAUUUUCUAUCAUAAAUCUGUCAUAUUUCUGUAAAAUAAGAGACUCAAGCCAAGAACCGUCACACAUGUACCAGUCAUCGUAGGUCAUUUUUCUUGUAGUGAAUAAUGACAAUCUCCAUUUCUUUGUAAUAAUCCUCUGUACUUCGGCUAACUUGUGCAAGACUUUGUAAUUUUUUGUACAAAUCUGGAUAGUAGUGGUUAAAUACAAAACGCCUUCUCAUCAACGAUUUCAUUUUAUCUUAUGUCUCAAUUGGACAUUUCCUAUUCUGUUUCCUGUAUAUAACAAGCUUAUCCCACCAAGUAAUAGCAUAAUCAGAAAACUCAAUCACAAUCAAUUUUACUUUUUUUUACAUCUGAAAAAUUAUGACAAUCAAAUAUGAAUUCCAUUUUCUUCUCCCAUUCAAUGUAUGCUUCCAAGUCAUAUUUACCUUGAAAAGAUGAAAUCUUCAUCUUUAUGUCACUUAAUCUAUGAUCCCUAUUCCUAGCUCUGCUACCCCAUCCAUCUCUCCUAUAGCUACCCUCUAAGUGCUCCCUUUCAUCAUACUCAUCCUUAUAAUAGUCAUCAAUCUCUCCUCUAGUUAGAGCUCUAUCCCUCCUACGUGCUUGAGGAACAGGUUGUGGUUACCCCGCACAUGUGUUCUCUACUUGAUCCAAACGCUUGUGUAUAUGCUCUAAUUUAGCCCUCAUCAUCCUUCUCAUCUCUCCCAUCAAUGCUUAAAUUUCCAAAUUAUGAGUAGUUGCGGAUUGAUCCUCUUUAUUUUUAAAUGGUUAAGGGUUGUGAGACAUGGCUAACGUCUGCAAAAGAAAGUUAGAAACAAUAUAGAAAGGACUUGACCUCACUUCCUUACGUGUUUCACUCAAGAAAAUGAUUCACUCAAUUUCACUCAUGUUUCACUCAAAUUUAUUGGCUUUUACCCUCUAAUAUGCUCACACCCACUUGCCUUUUUCCACUCGUAAUAAUUCUUACUCGAUUCUUAUCAAACUAAUCAAACUAAUAUCAAGAUUCUAAUAGCAAUUCACAAUGAUUAAACUAAGGAGACUCGAAUUUCAAGAGCAAGAAUGCAAUGUUUACGAAAGGUUGGGUUUCGAUUUCGGGCAAAAAUUUUCACCAUGGGUAAAACUAAUUUUGGACUCUACAAGACACUAAUAAAUGAAAAAUGAACAAAUGAUUUAAGGCGGACGUUGGGGAUUUUUUUUUUAGGAAAAAGAAUAGGUAAAAUUUGCGGAUUUAAGGAUAAUUAAACCACAAAGAUGCAAAUUGAUGAAAAAGAAACCGUAAAAAUAUUGUUCAUGCAAUACUAUUCACAUGGCACUGUUCAUGACUCUUUUUUUGUUUUCUUAAUACUAGAACAAGAAUGAAAAAUCUCAAAUAAGAAUUUAAACAAAAAAGAAAGAUGAAUAUGAUCUUAGUGCCUAAGCUCUAAUACUAAAUGAUACGAACCUCGUCAAGAAUUGACGCGACCCUAAUCAAUUUAAUCCCUAAGAUCGGAUCUAAACUUGAAAUUGAAUGAGUACUUAAAACCACAUCCUUGGAAGGACUAACAAUCAAAGAAGCAAAAUUGGUGAUUCAAAUUCAGAAAGCUCGAAGCCAAAAGAGAGGGACAAUGAGUACUUAAAACAAGGAUUGCCCGCAGUGGAAGGCCUGAGCAAUGAGUUCACCAAUGUAAAGAAAGCAGCUAGGAUAGAACAUGACACAUUCAUCAAUACCUGCUCCUCACUUGGAUCCCGCGUAGUAGAAAUUCGGCAACUAGUAACACGCUGUGCUAGCAGUGAGAGAGGCGGCUUUUUAAAGGAAAUGAAAGCGUUUCUGGAGGAUUGUGAAGAAGAGCUUAAGCUAGUGAGAGAAGCAAAAUAGGACUAUGGAACUUGUUAAGCGGACAACAGAGUACCACAAAGCAAGAGGUUCCAAAGAAAAAUAGGAGCACCCACUUCAACUGUUUGUUAUAGUAAAAGAAUUUCUGAGCAUGGUUGAUAGAGUUUGUGCUGACAUUAGUCGAAAUUUACAGAAGAAGAAUGGGACAACAAGCGCAUCAUCACCACCACCACUGUCACCACCAAUAAGAAGUCUAGUGAAAUUCAUCAACUUGCCAAAACAAUUCAUGUCAGAUAUUCGAGCAGCAACAUAUUCCAGUGAAUCAAAUGAUAGUUUCUGAAGCAUGCUUGGAGUAGAAAAUUGUUUAGAUUGAAAUAAAAUUGAAGACCUUUCCUAGCUUCCUUUCCAACGAUUUUAAUUCGCUCUUGGUUGAUCUUACAGAGAAUGAAUGAUUUUAAACUCCCAUGUCCUAAGGAAAAAUUUCCGACAUAGAUUUAUCAUAUCACCAGUUCUUCAAUGUUAAGAGCCAAAGCAUAAUUUCUCGAUCAUUGAAAAAGUCAAACUAUAACCCGAGACUAUUAGCAGAUACAUAUAAUAAAUUAAUUAUUCAUUUUCUAUUAUUAGGAAAACUGUCAUAAAAAAACCAAAACGAUCUAAGUGCCUGUUUGAUAUGGCUUAUUUAAUGGGCAUAAGUGCUUAUUUAUUCUCAUAAGCUCUUAUCAUAAUUUUUGUUGUUGUUUGGUUAUUUUUUAGUAGAGUUUUUAUAGAUUAAAUAAGUUAUUUUGUCUCUAAUAGGAAAAACUCAAAUUUUGAGCUUUUGCGAGUAGAGGUUGAAAUUUUUUUUAUAUGUUAAAAUAUUAAAAAUAUCGUCUACUUAUUUGACAAUCUUUUUUCAUUCUUAUUAUAACAUAACAUAACAAAACUUGCAUAUUAAAAUAAUUUCAUAAAUUUUUAAUAAAAACUCUUGUUGACAACUAAACAAUUAAAAUUUCUUAGAUAAAAGCUCUUCUGCCAAAAUCUUUACUUAAAUAAGUUUUACUUGAAAAGUUGUACCAAACGAAAUCUAAAUCUUAUCUAUUAGCCUGCUAGGUGGGUCCUACAGUAAUUUGGGCCGAAUUCUGGGUUAUCGCAAGGAUUUAGGCCCAACUCAAUCCAGAUCAGCUGCCUGUACCGGGGUUUUUAAUUAAAGAUGCCUUAAAAGUAGGGUAUUUAGUUAAAUAUACCCCAUACUUGAAAAUUAUCUAGAUAUACCUUUUUAUGUGGUACAUUGUCUAAAAUAUCCCUAAAGAAAAAUAUAAAACACACACAACUCACCUCCAACACUCUUUACUUCUCACUCUUUUUAACUCCACACAACAAAAACUCACUCCACACUCAAAAUCACUCACGAACAGCCAAUGUACUGAGAUUUUAGUUUGCAGCUGGGUGCAUUAUUCAUCACAUGAAUAAGGUAUUUGAAACUUUAUUUUUAUUUUGUGUUAUUUAUUUAUUUUGUUGACAUUAUAUUGUUUUUAGGGUUUUGUUUGGUUUGUGAUAAAUAAUAAAGCAACUCACAUUCAUAUGACUGUUAUUUGAUGGAUUUUAUAACUACAUUCAUUAAAACUUGAAGUUGCUGCCAAAAUUUUGUUCUGCACCCCGACAUACACGACAGCAGUCGUGUAUGUAUGGAUUUACACGACUGUAGUCGUGAAAAUGUGCAAAAGAUUCAAAUUAUUAUGACACCCUAUAAUUUUAUUGGUGCAAAAAAUAUAUUAUUUUCACUAGAUAUAUCCUUUUGCUAUUACUGGACUAUAGUGGUGUGUUUUAAUAAGUUACACGACUACUAUCGUGUAUGUAUGAACUUACAUAUUAUAAUUGUACAUAUAUGUAAACUGUUCCAACUGUUAUGAGAUCCCAGCAUUUUAUCAGUGCAAGAAAAAUAUUUUUUGAAGAAAAAAUAUGUCCUUUGACUAUUUAUAGUCAUGUAUUUCUAUAAUUUACACAACUAUCAUCAUGUAUGUAUGACUUUUGUCAUGUAUGUAUGAAUUUACACGAUAGCAGUUGUGCAAGAUUGAAAGAUAUAGUAGCUGUUAUGACACAUAACAUUCUGUUAGUAUAAAGAUUACAUUUUUUUACUAAACAUAUUCUCUAACUGUUUACUAGACUAUAGUUGUGUAUUUUAGCAAGUUACACAACUAUUGUCGUGUAAACUAGCAAUUGCACAACAGCAGUCAUGUAAAUAGAUAUAUAGUUCCACACUUCAUAAUAUACCUUGUUUGAUUUUUUUUUUUUUUUGUAUAAUCAACUGUUGUAUUAUUGCAAAAAGUGACUUCAGUAUGUAUGCCUAUUAUUCUUUAGAAUCAUAAGAAAUUAGGAUAGCAUCACAAGGUGAAGAAAAGUUACGCCGUAAGUACUGUAGGUGUGGUUCUUAAUGAUAUAAUCGACUAACUUGCAAUGCACCAAUCUCACUGUCUAACAAUGAGCCCGUAGUUAGACUGAAUGAAACAAAAACAAGUACACAUACUACUAUGAACCUUACAUACUUGUCAUUUUUGUUGUUUUAAUUUCUUUAAUAUCUAAAAUAGUUAGUUGAUAAAUUUCUACCUUUUUUGUUUUGCUGAUGGAUAAACAUGUUUGUGUGGCUUAUGUUAUUUUCAAAAGGAGGCGACCGGGGCCUUAUAAUACAUGGGUCGAGUGUUUAGGCUAAGGAUGCAAAUAAUUAUGAUGAUUGUGCAGCAACUUCCAUUGUAUUACAACUUAUUUAUUAUUUGAACAUGUAUUGGAUCUAUGUUGUUUGAUGUACAAUUACUUUUGUUAUUUGUCAAAUUGAAGUAUGAUAUGUUAAAGACUAUGUUGAUUUGUUAUCAUUAUAAUGAAUGUUUUAGGUAAUUUUAUGUUCUAUGUCCACUUACCCAACUACAGUCGUGUAUUUUGGCUCUUACUCGACUAUUGUCGUGUAUAUCUGAUUGUACUCAACUAUAAAUGUGAAUCUAUUAAAUACUCGACUAUUGUCGUUUAUUUAUGAAAAUACCCGACUAAAGUUAUGUACCAAUGCAAAUACCAACUGGUUAUGUAUGUUUACAAAUACUCAACUGAUGUCGAGUAUUUGUGAAAAUACCCGACUGCAGUCGUGUACUAAUACAAAUACCAGUUGGUCAUGUAUGUUUGUCAAUAUUCGACUGCAGUCGAGUAUCUGUGAAAAUACCUGACUACAGUCGUGUACCAAUGCAAAUACCAGCUGGUCAUGUAUGUUUGCAAAUACUUGACUGCAGUCGAAUAUCUGUGAAAAUACUCUACUGCAGUCGUGUACCAAUCCAAAUACCACCUGGUUAUAUAUGUUUGGAAAUACUCGACUGCAGUCGAGUAUCUGUGAAAAUACUCGACUACAGUCGUGUACCAAUACAAAUAUCAGCUGUUUAUGUAUGUUUGUAAAUACUCAACUGCAGUUGAGUAUCUGUGAAAAUACCCGACUGCAGUCGUGUACUAAUGCAAAUACCAGCUGGUCAUAUAUGUUUGGAAAUACUCUACUGCAGUCGAGUAUCUGUGAAAAUACCCAACUGCAGUCGUGUACCAAUCCAAAUACCACCUGGUUAUAUAUGUGUGGAAAUACUCGACUGCAGUCGAGUAUCUGUGAAAAUACCUGACUGCAGUCGUGUACCAAUGCAAAUAUCAGCUGGUCAUAUAUGUUUGGAAAUACUCGACUGCAGUCGAGUAUCUGUGAAAAUACCCAACUGCAGUCGUGUACCAAUCCAAAUACCACCUGGUUAUAUAUGUGUGGAAAUACUCGACUGCAGUCGAGUAUCUGUGAAAAUACCUAACUGCAGUCGUGUACCAAUGCAAAUACCAGCUGGUCAUGUAUGUUUGCAAAUACUCGACUGCAGUCGAGUAUCUGUGAAAAUAUUCGGAGACAGUCAUGUAUUUGGGCUGAGCAUUUCUUGAGCAUAUAUGACCAUUCUAUUGCAUCACAUACAUUAUAUAAAAUUAUCUUCUCUGUCAUUAAUAUACUUAAUAAAAAAAACAUAUGUAUGAUGUCAAAUUAACUUUAAUGAUAUCAAAUAUCAACAGCAUCCCAUUGUAAUCAUUACAUCUCAUGAUAAGUAAUAAAAAAAAAAUGACACAUCAAUGAAGUUUUUAAGAGUGAGACACUACGUAGUUUUUUUCCAAAACCUACUCCAAAAUAAUUUGACAGCCAAUGCUUUUUGAAAUUGUGCAACAUCAUCUUGUUAGCAAUAUGAAUUGACAUCAAGUCAGUGGGCCAGGACCUCCAAGAACUGCAACAAAAAUGCUUCAUAAUCACUACUAAAAAAAUUCAUAUAAAUCAAUCGUUAAAAAUCACCAUUGUUAUUGUUAAGUCAAAAAAAUAUAAUUUCAAUUUGUAGUAAAAAUAAUACUUCAAAUUUAUUAUCACUGUCGUAAUAUAUUAUCAAUCUACUAAAUGAUCACACUGUCAUAAUAUAUUAUCAAUCUACUAAAUGAUCACACAACAUAAAAGCAACAGAUAUGAGAACUUUUUACAACUUAAAAAUGUUCUAUAUAUAAGACAACAUGACUUUCUUAAACUAGCAUCUACAUGAUGAACAUAACUAUAUUAUUUCAAGAACAAACCCAUCAAAUUAAAAUAUAUUGCCAAUAACUAUGAACUCAAAUAAUUUUUAAAUGAGUUAUAAACAAAAAUAAGAAAUAAACCAUCACUACCACAUGACAUAAAAAUCAAACUUUAUAUAUCAAGUAUUUUAACAAUUCUAAAUAAAGUAUAAAUAUUCAAAGGAAAUGUUGAAUUUUUCCAUAACACUCAAACAAUUAAUUUUCAUUAGUUCAAUCUGAUUAAUAAGCUAUUAAGUAUGUGUAUAAUUGUCAAAAACUAAAAACAAGCCUAGGACGAGUGUAUUAAAGGGCAAUUCUCCAAUAGUUAACUAGUUGGAAAUAUAUACAACAACAUUUGCUGCACAAUAAUAUCAAAUCCUAAAUGCUAUGUGACUUCUUUAGUCAAUAGCCUCACAGUGAGACAAAUUAAUAAAAUGAUCCAACAUUGUUUCAAAAUUCACAAGUCGUUCAAAACACAUUUAUUAAUAGUGUACUAUCAAUAGUUUUAUGCUGAAACAAAUAGCAAAUUGUUAAUAAAUUAGAAUUGCAAAAUAAAGGUUCUAUAGCAAAUAAUAGAGAAAACCCAGAUUGUAGCAUAAUGAAUGCAUACGCAGCUGAAGAAAAUUGAUAUAUAAUUCCCAUGGAUGAAGUUCAACUACAAACAACAAGUAAAAUUAUAUAAAGAUCUAAUGCAUAAACUAGUGUAGCCAUAACCGAAAAUUCAUAAGGAUAAUAUUUGUUUCAUCCAAUUACCUAUGAAUAUUUAAUUAGGAACUCCCACAACCAUUAUUAAAGAGCCAUAAAAUCACUCUCUUCAAUUUCAAAUCCACAAGUCAAAGAAGCUUCAUUACAUUACCAGCAAGAAAGAUUAUCAGUAAAUAAGCAAGAUAAUGACCAAAAUCAUGUGGGUAAUGACCAAAAUCAUGUGGGUAAUUUGUUUUUUAAAACCCUAAUGCAUAUAACCCUAACAAUUAUGCACCAUAAAUUCUCUUUAUAAAGUAAAAAAUAAGUGUAAAUGUGGUUAAUGACCUUUAGUUCGGUGAAUUUCCAGCCUUUAAUUCGGUGAUUUUGUAGCCUUUAAUGUGGUGGAUGAACUUGCAGCAGCAGGAGCAUGAACUUGCAGCAGCAGGCGUUGUGUAUGGUAGCUCGUGAAGGUAGAUUUUGAAAUUUGAAGAAUUAAAUUGGGGUAAUUCUGUAAUUGCACAUUGAAAAAGGUAUAUAAAAGAAAUUUUGAAUUAUGGGGGUGUAGUUGGAUAAAUACCUAACCUUUAGGGUAUAGAGGGGACAAAUCCCUGGCCUGUACCCGCGACAACAUGUAGCACAAGCCGCAAUGCAGUGAUUACGAAGGGAAUAGGAUCUACAGUUUCAGACAAACGUGUAUUGGUUACUGCAUUGUUCAUCUGCUAUAAGCUAUUAAAUAAAUAAUCUUAGAGCUGUUAUAAACUAUAAUAGUAGUUAGUUUUCCAUCCCAGGAGAUGUCUGAACCUUUUUCAGUCUUGGAUAAAAGAAUUAGAUUUACUCGACUAAUAUUGUUUUAUUUGAGAAAGGGGAGAGAAGAAACCAGAAGUGGUUGCAUCGUGGGCGGCUUGACUCUUGAGCGAGCUACGAGCUUGACCUGGAUCAAAGUGAAAGUCGAGUCAACGAUUGGGUAAUACCCAAAAAAGGUCAUUUCCUUACACAAAAAUUUCCAGGAACGCGUUCAAAACUUAAAACAAGAAACAUUAUAUCUCCUCCACGACUUGAAGAUAAAAAAGACAAUAAUAAUCAAUUAUGCAAAGCUUCUAAACCGGGAAAUUUUCUCAACAAGUAGUAUAACAGUUGUAGAAACGAUGGCAAGUGAAAGACUUGGAGAGGUGAUAAGCAUGAAAGAAGAGGUGAUCAAGAAAGCAUGCUCGAUAGCCAUGAAGGCACACGAGUUGCCGGAGAAGCAGCUGUAUCUCGUUGAAAAGAAUCGGGGCUCAUCAGAUGUCAUUUUCGGCUUUCCAGGUUCUUGGUUUAUCAGUGAUUGGUUUAGUCGAAGCCCCUUUGGCGAAAAAAAGAUCGAUCCACAUCCACCUCAGUUCGCUUCUCUUCGAAGUAUAGGCAAUGAUCAAGUUGCAACUGUCAAUGAAGCUUUUCUUACUAGAUUUCAAGCAAUUCUGCCUCAGCUACAAAACGAGGUGUGUGAUCUCUUUAUUAAUUAAGUUUUUUUAAUUUUAGUUUUUUGGCCCCUGAAAAAUCAAAAUGCAACAUGUACUGCUAGUUAGUAAGUAUUGGUGUUGCUUCCUCUUUGGCAAUCAUCAAGACUCCAAAAUAGCUGAUCGUUAUAAUAAAUAAACUAUACAAUUGAAUUCGAAUGAAACAAUAGAAAUGAAGCAAACUAAUGACAAACUGGAAUACAAAUAUUUAUAUAAAAAUACUGGGUAGUUACUUCGAAUCAUUCUCAGGUGGGGAAAGCUGUGGCAGAGAGAAAGCAAAUAGUGUUUACAGGGCAUUCCUCAGCUGGUCCAAUUGCCGUUUUAAUGACAGUUUGGUUCCUGGAAAAUUUGGAAAAAUUCAUAAAGUCAGACCCCAGCACCAGCCGAAUGCCACCUAUAUGCGUCACUUUUGGAUCACCUCUUGUUGGUGAUUUCAUAUUUAACCACGCUUUGAGGCGAGAAAGUUGGUCUCUCUACUUCAUUCAUUUCGUAAUGAGGUAUGACAUCGUCCCUCGGGUUUUGCUAGCUCCUCUCUCUUCCCUUGAGCCAGAACUGAAAAUUAUCCUCCAUUUCUUGAACCCAAAACAUACAACUCCCAUGCCAGAACCAACUGAAGAAGCUUCAGCUCUCUAUGUGACGGUGAUGAGGAAUGCAUCAUCUGUGGGAAGCCAUGCGGCCUGUCAUCUCAUGGGAAACACAAACAAGUUGUCUGAUACUUUGUUGAGUUUCAUUGAGCUGAGCCCCUAUCGACCCUUUGGAACUUAUGUCUUCUGCACAGGAGAUAGGGAACUGGUAGUAGUGAAAAACCCUGAUACCGUUCUGCAGAUAUUGUUCUAUUCUUCUCAGUUGAGCUCUGAAGUAGAAGGUCCAGAGAUUGCUCUCAGAAGCGUAAAGGACCACCUUAAUUACCAAAGCGAACUGCAGAACUUAGAGACAAAAGGUGUCGCUCAUUUAGACAAUUUGCAAGGGCUUCCAUUGUCUUCCAAUGUUGGUGCCGCUGGCCUUGGCCUGGUCCUGAAUAACCUUGGCCUGGUAAGUCCGUUUCAAGAUAGUUUCAAAAUUAGUCUUUCAGUUUUAAAAGUUCCCCUAUCAGUUUUUUUUUUUUUUGCCCCCUUGGACUGACAUUUUGAAUCUUCGGUUUCCAGACCACCAGAGCCAGACUCUGCCUUUGUGCUGCUGGAGAAUUAGAGGAGCAAAAAUGGAGAAACCAGGAAAAGAUUAAUAAAAAGAAGAUAGAUAUAGAGAGAGGACUACUAGCACUUGAAGGGUACAAAACCAGGUGCGAGGCUGGCAGAGUCAGCUAUUAUGAUGCAUUCAAGCUUUCAAAGGACACUGAUGAUUUCAAUGCAAAUGUUAAGAGGCUUGAGUUGGCUGGUAUUUUUGAUAAGAUUAAGGAAAUGUUGAAAAGGUAUGAACUUCCUGAUGAGUUUGAAGGCCAUAGAGAGUGGAUAGACAUCGGAACAAGGUACCGCCGCAUUGCUGAACCUCUAGAUAUUGCUAAUUACUAUCGACACCUAAAAAAUGAAGACACAGGUCCCUAUCUGAUAAAGGGCAGACCAAAACGAUACAGAUACACUCAGAGGUGGCUCGAAUAUGCCCUGAAGAUAUCGGCAGGAUCCAGCGGGGAAUCAUGUUUCUGGGCAGAGGUUGAGGAGCUCUGCCUCAGAACUAUUAAUAUGGGGCUGUUUGAAGAUGUCAAAGCACAUAUACUGUCCCUGGAGAAGCAGGUAGAUAAAUGGGUUCAGGAUAGGGAGUUAGGUGAUGAUAUAUUCUUUGAGGAUUCGACCUUCGUCAAGUGGUGGAAAACACUCCCUCAGCUACAUAGAUCAGGAUCAUGCAUUGCAAAAUUCAUCAAUAACUAAAAAAAUAAAUCUUAAAGCUAUCACCACUUGCUUCUAGAAGUGCAACUAUCAACCGUUGGUCCCUGCCCUGGCCGUGGAAGUUGUGUAAUUAGUUAACCUAAUAUCAUUAGUUUCUAUUUGUAACGUGUGCUUCAAUUAUAACUCAAGAGUGGAGACUCAUUUUGUAUUACGACCAAAUAAGUCAUUAGUGGAUUUUUGCCAAAUGUUAUUAACCAGUAGCAGCAUUAUUGUUGAAAUUAUACUGGCUGUCCGCUGGUAAUGCAUCCAUUUCGGGAUGCCACGCCGCUACUGUUUGUUCAAGAAUUCUGUCAUCCUGAUACAAAAACAAGGAAAGAAAAAUAAGGGCUCUCAAGAAGCAAGCCAUUCUCAACGUGCUAAGAUACAAUGUAUCGAAUAAAAUCAUCACUGUGCAGUUAUAGCGUAAGAACAACAUUAUUGGUGCAAAAUAUAAUAAGCUCAUAUCGAUCUUCAGAUAUAGAUUUAGACAACUUUUAGUGUUAAGCGAGUAAUAGCAAUAUAGCAUACUGCGCAUACAGAUACUUAUAUAGGUAGAGCAAAAAGAAAAAUUAUAUGGUGUUCACAUGUUGCGUGAUCUACAAGCUAUUGAAUCAGACUUUACGGGAAAAUCGUUGCGUAAUAUGUUUUCCCAAUUGUUAUAUUCUCUCUGGGGAACAUAUUGGGUGGGUUUAGAGCGUUAAUUGCUCCGUUUCCAUGUGAACAUGCAAAAAUUGCUAUUCUCCUAGAGCUGUUAAUUUGUUUUUUUUUUUUUCUUAGUAAUGAGGACUUUUUUAACGACGGCAUAUAUAGUAAACAAAGUCGUUAUAAAAUUAUUCCAUAAGAUCUUUAAGUUAGAUCUUUUCUUUCAACAAAGACUUUUAAAUUAGAUGCAUUUAAUUAUAUUUAUUAUUUAGAUGUACCAUUCCAAUUUGUUGUUUUCAACACUAGUCAUGAAAAAUGUAAAAUAUCAAUAUGUAAAUUUUAUAUGAACUAUACUCUUUAAAAAUAUCUCAUCAACUUAUAAUAAAUGAUUUCUAAAUUGAAUCACAAAGUUACUGUCCAUAAAUAGAUAGUUUUUAAUCGUUAGUUAUUUUUAUAUAAUGGUAGAUAAUAUAUGGUGAAUGAUAUAAUAUAAAAUAGUAAAAUAGCAUGAAAAUUGUUAAAUCACACACAAUGAAAAUUAAAUAAUUUUAAAAUUAUUAUUGAGAUUUGAGAAAAAUAAUUGAUUGUCAUUGUUUUUAUUAAUCAAUACAAAUAUUGAUUGCCAAUCAACAUAAAGAUGACUUUAGUUUUUGUUCAUCAAUCAUAUUCCCAGAUACCAUAUCAAUUGUAUCAUUUCCUUUUUUUAUUCAUUCAUUAAUUAUAGAUUUUUUAUUUUUGAAAGAAUCCAUUCAUUGUAGAUAUUGAGCAUUUGUGCUUAUUAAAAUGAAUUUCAUGAGUUUAUGUUCAUCGUCAAUUGUAAGAUAAAAGCAUUAUAUAUAUAUAUGAAGAUUAUUUUGUUCAACUUUUCACUAUACAUAUAAUUUAUAAAAAUCAACAGUAAUGCGUUACGAAAUUUAUAUCAAUCAAGCAAUGUAAUUAUAAUUUAGUGAAGCUUGAAUGAAUGAGGGAAUUAACGACUAAAAAAAAAAAGUAUAUGAUCAUCGAAGAGGGACAUAAUAAGUCUUACCUUUUAAAAUAUUGGUAUUUCAUUUAAAAUUUAGCAGGACUUAGGGGCUGUUUUUUUUUUAAUCACUUAAUUGACUUAAUUUCAAUUGGUUAAGUCAUUAAGUCCUUUUUUUUUCAACUUAACGAAAACUUUCAAUCUUUAAGUCAUUAAGUUAUUUAAAAAAAAAUUGAUAUUUAUUUUUAACAAUUCAGAAAAAAAAUAAACAUAUUAUUUAAAUUUAGACAUUCAGUUCUAUUAAAAAUUUAAACUCAUUCAAAUUUAUUUAAAUUUCAUAUGAAAAAACAAUCACCAUCUUAAUUUGAAUUUACUUAUGCAUACAACCAUUUGGGAUCUCAUUUUCGUUGAUCACACUUCGAGGAUGACUUUCACGUCCUUCGACAAAUUAUUUCUAAACCAAACAUUGAUUCUUGGGAAAUAUGACUAGAAUGGAUAGUGACAUGACUGGAGAGACUCCAAGGACCUUGACUUAAUAGAAACCAUUCAUUUCAAUUUUCUUCACGUCCUUGCAAAAAUCCUACAGUAAGACAGAGUGUUAGACCAGUCACCGACAAACCAUAUUCUGGUUUUGUUUGAAAUUAAAGUGAUAUAACUUUUAAACUAUAGUUGAUGUAAAAAAAAUUUAUAAUUAUGAAACAAAGGUUACUAAUAUAUCAUAAAUAUAAUUUUUAAAUAAUAAUUUUAAUAAAAUUAUUAAAAAUAUGAUAAAUUUUCAUUAUAUAAAUGAAAUAUUAUGUCAAUAUAACUUUUGUAAGAUAUAGCAUAUAGUGUUUAAUAAACAUUUUAAUGCUGCCCAACCUCAAUCUCAAGUAGGGCCUUGGUUUAAUUCAAAAUUACCUAGAAUGUUGAACAAAAACUAGACUUUAAUUAUUAGAAUACCCGCUGAUUUACGUUAGAUUUUAUUGAUUCAAUAAAAGCUCAAAACUCGUCUGAAACUAGAAUUUAAUAUUUUUCAACUCCAAUGCAAAAGCUCAAAACUCGCAUGGAGUUUGAAUAAGUGCUUUCAAACUAGUUAUUUAUUCAAUAUCCGUUUAAAAGAAGUGAUGCAGGGUGCUAGAGUGGAAAGAUUACAAGGAGUUAUUUCUUUUGAAGAGUGAUAAUUUUAAACGUUUUGUGAAAGAACAGAGAAUCGAAUUUGAGUUCGAUGUUGAUAUGAUUUUUGUAUUGAUCUUUUAAAAAAAUGUAAUACUAAUUAUUAGACGAAAAUAUCUAACUAAAUAAAUUUUAACCAUGAUAAAUGGCAUGGUAGAAAAUUAUAUAUCGAAAUCAUAAAUACAACUAAGAUCAGCUCGAUCUUAGACCUAAAUUCUCGAGAAUCUAUAAUUUCAUGUUGUCCACGAUAUCACAUAUUACUUUUGUGUCUGGAUUCUUAGAAAACGCAAUGAAGUGAAAGAGUUUUUUUUUUUUUAUUAAAUGAGACUAUUGCUCAGAUUACAACUCAUAUACAUGAGACUAUUACUGAUAUUUACAAAUCAGACUAUUACUGGGAUCAACUGACAUCAAUGCUAAUGGAGCUCUGCCCAGAUUUUAACCCUCACAAAUAUUCGAGGGAUGUCUACUCCUCACUCAUGGGUAAGGGAGAAGACUACCUUCACUUAAAUUAAUUGAGGAAGAAAAUACCCCCACAAUACUUUUGUGGGAGUUCGAACUGCUGUUCUCUAAACCCUUACAAAUAUUCAACGGAUGUAUACUCCUCACUCAUGAAGUGAAAGAGUUAUGUUGGUGAAAUAUGAGGAAUAUAAUUGUUUAUUUGUAAAGCCCAAGUUAGCCCAAUUCUCAUGACCAGGCCCAAUCCUUAUGUGAGUAAAGUUAACAACAUAUGUUUGAUUUUUGGGAGGCGCGUUGAUGUUUUCAUACCUGGUGGAUAAAUGAAGUGUGCGAUAAUGCAUGUGACCUGGAAACAUCUCGCCUUAUAAUUUCUUUUCCAAAUGGUGAAUUUAUAGUGAUACUAUAUUAAUUGAAUACAAAUUAUGUAUCUCAAAUUAAAAAAAAAAAUUAGUAGUUAUAAUAAAAAAUUGAGUUACAAAUUUAUAUCCUAAUAUUAUGUGACAACCGUAUAAAUUUAUACUCAUAAAUAAGAAAUAAUAAAAUUACAAAAUUACAAAAUUAACUAUCAUAUAACAUUGCCAGACUAUUAUAAUCCAAAUUUGUAAUGCCUAUCAUUAUUCUUUCGGUGAUCCUUAACUUUGAUGAUGAAUUGGGUUGGGGCCCUCGUUAAGAACAACUCAAACUAUGUCUUUACCUAUGAUUUAGAAAACAAUAAGGGUCUCAAUGCUAUUAUACCAUUAUUAUAUAACUCAUUUCAUCUUCAAGCUAAGGGGAACGUCGUCGUGUUAAAAACCUUCAAAAUUGAAAAGCUCUGUCUGAAGCUAGUGAACAGAACACCCGCUUUCUCUUCCCUCGUCCAAUAUUUUCCCUGAAAAUCGAAAGCUUUCCAUGAAACCAAACAAAACGUAACUGUUUCGACAAGCAUGGAAGAAUCAGAAUCGAAUCGUGUAGCAGAGGCAGUUAACGAGGCAAAAAUGAGCAGAAAGGAGAAGAAGAAGAUGGCGAAGAAGAAGAGGAGGAAAGACAAGAGGAAAGAAAUGGCGGCGAAGGAGAGAGAAGAAGAGGAAGCGAGGUCGAAGGAUCCGGAGGAGCGGAGGAAGUUCGAGAUGAUGAUUAAAGAAGAGGAGGAAAAGAGAGAGAGAGCGUUGAAGGAGUUUGAGGAGAGAGAGAGGCUUUGGAUUCAAGAGAUGGAGUUGAAGAAGAAGAAAGUAGAAGAAAAAGAAGAGGAGAGAAGGAAAGUUAUGGAAGAUAGAGAAAAAGAAGAGGCAGCCAUGAAACAAUUACUGGUUUGUUUUAUUUUGUUUAUUAAAAAGAAUUUUGCAGUUUUUUUUUGGGUGGGUGUGUGUGUUUGGUUGCUGGGAAAUUUUGAGGAAAUAGGAAAUUUAAUAGAAUUUGUGGCCACUAGAAUUGAUUUUUACGGACUUAUUUUUGUUGUAAAAAUGGCAAUUAAGUAUUUUUGUGAGACUUGUUACUGUUGUGAAUUUUUGUUAGGCUCUUUGAAAAUGUUGGAAUGGGAGAGAAUGCAAUUCUAGGUUUAAUUAUCGAUGGGUAUUCAAUAUCUUGCAGGUUGAAAAGGAGAAUGAAUGUGAUGAGGAUGAUGAUUGGGAAUAUGUUGAAGAAGGGCCUGCAGAAAUUAUAUGGCAAGGAAAUGAGAUUAUUAUCAGGAAGAAAAAGGUCAGAGUUCCGAAGAAGGAUGCGAACCCACUAAGUAAAAAAGAGGUAAUUUUGACUCUAUUGACAGCUAUGCUAGGCUUGUUUCUACUUUACUUCAGGAUGCCCAUUCUCUUCGGUUAUGGCAAAAAUUAAACUUUCUACGUUAUUACUUCCUUUACAGGAUGUUGAUAGGCCUACAUCAAAUCCUUUUCCCCCACAAUCAGAAGCCUUCGCUGAUCACCAGAAUGCACAACAGGCGUUGGAGACUGUUGCUCAACAAGUGCCCAAUUUUGGAACUGAACAGGCAUGCCUUUUCUUUCAAUCUGUCUAUCUGAAAUUUUCAAUUUGCAAUUACUGUAUUAUAUUUCAUUUCUAUUAUAUUUGCCUGUUUAUCAUGGUCAAUCAUGUUUUUAUUAUAUAUGGCAGGAUAAAGCUCAUUGUCCUUUCCAUUUGAAGACUGGAGCUUGUCGGUUUGGUCAGAGAUGCAGCAGAGUUCAUUUUUACCCUGAUAAAUCAUGCACUCUGCUCAUCAAGAAUAUGUAUAAUGGUCCUGGCCUUGCUUGGGAGCAAGAUGAGGGGCUCGAGGUCUGUAAUUGCUGAUUCUUGUAUCCUGAUAAGGACUCUUCCAAACUUCUAUACUUUUGUGCAAUUUGUUGGAUCAUUUUAUAUACGCAUUGUCCUUGCUAUAUAGAAGAUGCUUUUUAUACAGAAAAAUAUUUUUCCAGUUGAUAUACUGUAAUGUGUUUAUAACUAUUCUAGAUAGUAAACCUGGUGAGUUCUUUUGAGUUCACAUUUUAUUUCUUUUCUUUGACUAUGUGAAAUCAGAGAUUUAUGUUUUCAUAACGAUGGAGAUUCAUGGUGUUGGCCUUGAUUGGGUAAGAGUGAAGGCUAUGAGCUAUUCUGUAUCCUACAUGCUGCAAAUGAUUUUAGCUAUUAUGAAAUUUCUUGUUUAUAUGUUUGGCUUAUUUCUCUUUAUUUCUUUCGUUCUUUCUUUCUUUCUUUCUUUCUUUCUCUCUCUCACUAGUCACAUAACUGUACAACUCUGUUUGAGUUAAAAAUUUCUCCUUAACAACUAGUAGUUUCUUGUGGAAUAUACUAUAUAUCGUCGAUUGUCAGAGCUGGUCAUCUAACAAUGGUCAUUACUUUGGAAGGUUUGGGAUUGUUUGCCACAACACCUAUUUACUGACACAUGCUGUUGGUGCUCUUCAUUUACUUUAGAAUGUGUCGGGGGAGACAGAAAGCUGGAGAAAAAGAAGUUGCUUUGAUUGAUGCAAAUUAAAUUAGUUGAACACAUGAUAGGUUUCAUUUCAGUCUAUUAUACAGAUGAGAAAAUAUUAGCCAUUAGGUGAGGAUUAAAUUUCAGGUUAUAUAUAUCUUGUCCCCUAGUUGUGUAUUUUGAAUAGUGUUAACCAUGUAAAUGGAGAUCAUGGUUUAUAGUUGUCUCCGUGUUAAUCCACUACCCUUUGACCAUUAUCUGGAAGAACAAAAUGCAAAUUGAGAAACUAAUCAAAUUGAUAACUAUCAUAGUGAAGUUUCAAGUUAUAUGCUAGAGAAUUUUUAUAAGUUGUUUCACCUCCUGAUAAAUAUCAUUUUGUUUUUCCAAUGUCAAAAUAAAGCAUUCUUGACAGACUAUACUUUCAUACUUUUCUUUUGAUUUUAUGCUUCUGAUGUUAACAUACGCAAAAUUUUUUUUUGGUUGAUUUGCCUUCUUUCUUUUCA
rnacentral:lncRNA from 1 species